rnacentral:lncRNA from 1 species
AUUCAAAGUCUACUUUUUUUUUUUUUAUUAGUCUUAUCAAUUUUUUUAACACUAAAAUUUAAAAAUAAUGAAAAUAGGCUAAGAGUUCAAUGAUUGAUAUCUGAUGUCCUAACUUUGAAACGUAGUUUAUUUCUAAGAAAUGAAUGAAACAGAUUGCUUAUUACUAUCUUAAUUUCUCUUAAAAAAAAGGCAAAAGAAGUUUAUAAACUGUAGAACAAGUGAGUUGUGAGAUUUAUACCUAGAAUUAGGUGUUCAAAGGUGUAGGAAUAUCAAACAUUCAAACUUACUCAUAGUAGAUACAUUUCUGAGUUCAAAGCCUGAAAAAGUGUAUAAUUAAUAUACUCAGAUAAUUAAUGAAUGCACAACAAAAAGUGUAUAUAUAUAUAUAUAUANAAGAGGAAAAGGAAGAGGGUUCGCCAUCGUCGCCGCCGUCGCCGCCGCAUCUCCUCGCCGGCGACGAGGAAGAGGAAGAGGAAGAGGAGGAAGAGGAAGAAGGGUAAAUACGUCAAUUUACACUAUACUUAACCAUGGUUAAGUAUUUUAACCGUGGUUAACGAAAAUUUUCUAACAGAUCUGGACGGCAGGGACAUAUCUGCAUAAUUUAGGACUUUUGCAGGGACAACUUAUGGAGUUUUCGUUUUGCAGGGAUAUUUUCGCAAUUCACUAUAUUUAUAGGGACGUGUAUGCAAAUAACCCUAUAUAUAUAUAUAUAUAUAUAUAUAUAUAUAUAUAUAUAUAUAUGUUGACACAAGAGAACCUGGAAGCAUGGGAUUAUUAUGGACAAUGCAUGGCACAUAAAUAAAGUAACUAGAGAUGGGGGUUGGGAACUGUUGAGGGAAUUCAAUUCUCUGAUCUCUCUCUCUCUCUCUCUCUCUCUCUCUCACAGAAAGGCAUAAUUUUAACUGCAACACUUGCUGCACAGUACCUGUCUUCAUGUCUACACAUCAAAAUAAUUUACUCAUGAUGACUCACAUCAUUCAUUCAUUCACUUUGUUUGCUCCUCUGACCAUCUCUCUCCCUCUCAGAAACUCUAUACUGCCACACCUACACCGCAUUAUUAAUAACAAAUUAUUUAUAUUUUUUAAAAAAUAUAUAAUAAAAAUAUUUUUUAUUAAUUAUGAUUGGAUGGAUAAACUUAAGAGAAAUAUUCAUAUUAAUUGAAAACGUCAUGUCAGCAAUAUAACUGAUAUAUUCUAAAUUUUUUUCUCUCUCUCCCCCUCUCUCUCUAUCAGUAAAUUAAUGCUCAGGAGCAGCGCAUUUAAUAUUCUAUAAAAAAAUUUGAAUUCGAAUUUUACUUGUUAAAUAUAUAUACUCUAGAUAUUGAAAAAAUUGCAUAUCAAAAAUUAUAAAUCUUAGACAAUAAUUUUCUUAUAAUAUAUAUUUUGAAUGUUUAAUUUAAUGUCUUUGUUAUUAUAUAGGAUAACCAUUAGAUUUUAAUUUUAAAAUUUUAAAUUAUAUGAGAUGUGCAGAUACCACUGCAGGUACAUGCAAUAAUUUUUCAUCCUCUCUCUCUCUCUCUCUGGUGUAAAUAAAUGCAUGCAUUAUGUGCACAUAUAUCAAGGCAUGGACACAUUCCUCUUAAUGGGUGACAUGACAUGGUCAUGUAACACAUUAAAUGAUGUCCUUGGAAAAUAGGAACAAUGUGGCUAGAUGUUAGUUAUGAGGGGAGUAAAUACUUUGGAAACAGAUUGGAGGGUUUUUUUUUAUCUUAAUAAUAAUAAUAAUAAUCACAAAUAAAUUUAAAGGGAAUGGUGUCNCUCUCUCUCUCUCUCUCUCUCUCUCUAUAUAUAUAUAUAUAUAUAUAUAUAUAUAUAUAUAUAUAUAUGUUGACACAAGAGAACCUGGAAGCAUGGGAUUAUUAUGGACAAUGCAUGGCACAUAAAUAAAGUAACUAGAGAUGGGGUUGGGAACUGUUGAGGGAAUUCAAUUCUCUGAUAUCUCUCUCUCUCUCUCUCUCUCUCUCUCUUUCUCUCUCUCUCAGAAAGGCAUAAUUUUAACUGCAACACUUGCUGCACAGUACCUGUCUUCAUGUCUACACAUCAAAAUAAUUUACUCAUGAUGACUCACAUCAUUCAUUCAUUCACUUUGUUUGCUCCUCUGACCAUCUCUCUCUCCCUCUCAGAAACUCUAUACUGUCGCACCUACACUGCAUUAUUAAUAACAAAUUAAUUAUAUUUUUUUAAAAAUAUAUAAUAAAAAUAUUUUUUAUUAAUUAUAAUCGGACGGAUAAACUCUAGAGGAAUAUUCAUAUUAAUUAAAAACGUCACGUCAGUAAUAUAACUAAUACAUUCUAAAUUUUUUUCUCUCUCUUCCCCUCUCUCUCUCUCUAUCAGUAAAUUAAUGCUCAGGAGCAACGCACUUAAUAUUCUAUAAAGAAAUUUGAAUUCGAAUUUUACUUGUUAAAUAUAUAUACUCUAAAUAUUGAAAAAAUUGCAUAUCAAAAAUUAUAAAUUUUAGACAAUAAUUUUCUUGUAAUAUAUAUUUUGAAUGUUUAAUUUAAUGUCUUUUUUAUUAUAUAGGAUAACCAUUAGAUUUUAAUUUUAAAAUUUUAAAUUAUAUGAGAUGUGCAGAUACCACUGCAGGUACAUGCAAUAAUUUUUCAUCCUCUCUCUCUCUCUCUCUCUCUCUCUCUGGUGUAAAUAAAUGCAUGCAUUAUGUGCACAUAUAUCAAGGCAUGGACACAUUCCUCUUAAUGGGUGACAUGACAUGGUCAUGUAACACAUUAAAUGAUGUCCUUGGAAAAUAGGAACAAUGUGGCUAGAUGUUAGUUAUGAGGGGAGUAAAUACUUUGGAAACAGAUUGGAGGGUUUUUUUUUUUAUCUUAAUAAUAAUAAUAAUAAUCACAAAUAAAUUUAAAGGGAAUGGUGUCCUGNUGAUUAAAAUUUGUAAGGUAUUUGGCUGAGUUUAGAAAAAAAAAAAUUUCUGAAGUGAUUUUAUAAAGUUGUUCGAUAAAAAAAAAAUUUGAUAGCUACAAAUAAUUUUUUUUUACAAAAUUUAUUUUAAAAUAAUUCAAAAUUUAAAUUUAAGUUUAAAAUUUAAAUUGUAAUAUUUAAAUUUAAAAUCUAAAUUUAAAAUUUGAUGUUCAGAAUUUAAAAUUUAAAAUUUUAAAAUUUAUUCUUGUUACCCAUUAUGUUCUUUACACAAAGUGUAGACUAGAUUCCGAACCCGAACUUGACCUAGAGUCUGGUUGGCCCCACUUCUGCUUAAAUUUAUGAAGUGCCCCCUAUUAGAAGAAGAAGAUUCUUAUUGAGUAAAAACAUCACGAAAAACACAUAUUUUUUUUUUUUUCAUUGAGGAGUAAUAAAGUAUAAGAUGAAAUUUUUUGUUUUUUUUUUAUUAUUACAAGUGAUCAAUUUGAGGUACAGGGUGAAGUGUAGUGGAGUUUCGUAAAUUUCGCCUGUAAAAAUAAUAUUGGACCUUCCAAUCCUUUUCAUCUAAUUAAUUAGAGUUCAUUUCCAUUUAUUAAACCCUUUUUUUUCCCUUUGAAUAAGCAUUUGGAACUGUGACUACAUCUUAAAAUAGAUAAAGUAUUAGGCAUUAUAUAUACACAUCAAUAUUAGCUAGCUGGUUAAAAGAAGCUGGGUCUAAAUGAAGGUAAAUAUAUACUUACUAAUUAAAACUAUGUUUAUGUUAGGUAUUUUUCAUAUAUGAAAAGUAGUUGACCCUUGUGGAAAUAAUAGAAAAUUAAAGUAGAAUUUUUUCAAAUUUUUUUAGAAUGAGAAUUAAUAUAUGUUAGUAGACUCAAAUGUGAGAAAGGUCAAAACCAAAAAAAAAAAAAAUGUUGGGCCUAAUAAUUGGAUAUUGUGGGUGGGCUCUUUAGAUCUUGUUGCUGGGCUUGGGCUCACAUUUAAUGGAUCCAUUGGAUCAAAGUUAAAUAUUAUGUUUCUUGGGUGUCCUUUUCUACAAAAUUGAUCUAUGGUAAAUUCCUGAAUAAAAAGAUCAAACUUAAUUGAAGCAAUUUAUCUGCUUUUGGGUCAUCUUGUAAUUUUGUAUCCAUAUAGGUUGGUAUUGUUUAAAUGGUCCUUGUUUAGCGGAUGCAUAGGGAUAAUAUCUAAUAUACCCUUCAAAACUUCAAAAAUAUUUAAUAUACCUCUGGUUGACUAAAAUGCCCUUUAUUGAUUUUUAAAAAUUCCUUCAGAUAUUUUCAAACCCCUAGGGUUUACUAAUGGGAUUUGGAUUUGAAAGGAUAUUUUGAUAAUUUUAAGAUAAAUUUAAAAAUUUUGAACAGUAGUCGGGAUAAAUAAGCAAAAGCUAUUGAUGGCCUUAUGAAUAUUUAAGCUCAAGUGGACCAAAAUCUUUGAAAUUGCUAUGGGCUUAAGAUGUAGUUUAAUUUGAACCUAAUAGAAGUCAUUUUGGCAUGUUUGGCCCGUUGAGAUGUAGUCAAUGAUUUAAAAAUCGGGUUGAAUCGGCCAGCUCGACGUGACUCAGUUCAAUUUUUUCAACUAUAUAAAUCAAAAAACCGCUUUUAACCGUUCGAAUUAGUGGUUCAACUACCGGACCAGUGAAUCAGUUUGGUUUUAAUCUAUUUGGCCGGAGUUUUUUAUCAAGUUAUAUUAAAAUCUAACAGUUUAAAAUCAACUUCGUUGAUUGUAUUCUCUAUUAACAUAAAUUAGUUUCAUAAAAGGUAAAACUUAAACAUUUUUGUCUAUUAAAUUUGGUCUAGAAAUCAUUAUUUUAUAAUUAAGUAUUAUACUAAAAUAAUAACAUAUAUAUUUUUUCUACAUAAUAAAAUUAAAAAUACUAAUUAAAUAUUUAUGAUAUCAUGCUGAUGUCAUUAGUUCAACUAGUGAUUAACUCACUAAUUAAACUAGUGACCCUUGACUCAAUAAUAUUUCAGGGUCGUUAUUUUAACCGGUUUUUAAAAUAUUGGAUAUAGUGUUAUUCGAUGUGAUACUUUCUAAAUCUAUUAGCAUGAUUUGAUGUGUUCUGGGGUCGCAUAAGGUUGGAAUUACUGAAUUUGUAAAUGGACGUUCUAAAUUAGAACUUAUGGUUUUUUACUUUUUUAAGGUCUCAAGAUUUGUUGAAACAUAUGAGAAUAAAUUCCACAUAUAGAUAGCAAACAUCUUGUUUUGUUGCUUGAUGCUUUUUUUCUGAGAAAGGUAGGAUUAGAGACUGAGUUCACAUUUAUGAUGAGUUGAUCAAGGAAAUUGCAUUGGGAUUAAUUCAAUGUAUUCUAAGAUAUGGGGCCUCAUAGGUGGCUAAGGUGAAAAGGAAAAAUGAAUGAAGAUAUAUAGGGAUGACUACAGAAAAUGAAGAAAUUCUGAAAAAAAAAAAAAGGGCUUAUUGUCGUUGUUCUAUUGGAGCAUUUAGAGCAUACAUUGUGGUUCGUAAGCGCUAAUCAACUAUUUCAAGAGUAAGUGUACGUUGAUAGAAAGGACGCAUCCACCACUCUUUAAGGACUACUCAACCACAGCACUCACGAGUUUCGACCAGAUUCAACCUAUCUAGACAGUAAGUCUAUUGUUGGCUUCUUGCCGUUACGUCUAUUGUAAAUCACAGUCCUACUCAACUUAUUAAGUCUAUUUUUCAACUUAUUAGUCUUUUGGACUUAUAAUUACAGAGCAAGAAGUUGGACCUACUUUAACCGUUAAUACAGCAUAUAGGAAUCAAACUAGCGCCACUAACUCUAAUAUCUCUUUUGGAUCAUAAGCACUGAUCAAUCAUCAAAAACACGUGUUGAUAGAAAAGGUGCAUAGCCCCACUCAACUUAUUAUUCUUUUGAGUCUAUUACCACAAGACAGAAAAUUAGAUCUAUUCUAACAAAUAAUAAAUGGCCAACAUACAUAACCGUUGUUCUAUAUAUAUGCUUAAUCGAAAUAUAAAAUGUUGCAAAAUUUUAGCCCGUAAUAAGACCAAUUACAAUAUGUGCAUGCCAUGUAGAAAUUACUAACCAUUUAUUUAGAAUACAUGCCAUUCUAGCUAGUAUAUGUUCGAAUUUUAAUUUACCACAAAUUUUUGAAUGUUUAUCGCGAUGCGAGAUUCCUAUAUUUAAUAAAAAUUUGAACAUUUACAUGCUAGAUUUUUUUCAAAUACUUUCUCAAUAGAUGUCUAUUAAUUAAUAAUUAUUCUUAAUUAGUCUCCUGCUGGAUUAUUAUCAAUAUUAGAAAUAUACCACAACCAUAUUGGAUUAAUUGCAAUCCUGUAUCCCAUCAUUAAAUAGUGUGACUUGUCCUUGUUUUCAUCCUAAUUAAUUAAUUGAAAUAUCCAUAAAUAUAUUAAUAAAGACCUAUAAGGGGCUAUAUAUCUUGUAACUUUGUUUUUUAAUUGGCUUAAUUAUUUGUCCCUUUUCUUUAUUGCCUACUAGAGUACUAGACAAGGAUAUGAUAACCAAUCCAUCCAAGUAUUACAUGAAUCAUCAUAUUGUUAAAAGUAAUGUAAUUAAGAUGAAAACUUUUGCCAAGGUUUAAUUAGAUAAAUGUGAUGAGAGUCAAGUAAAUGGACCUACUUAUAGUAAACUAUAAUUCUAUAUGCUUUCAUGCAUUUUAAUUAUUACCAAAAUUAAAGAUCUAGUGAGAAUGCUUUGUGAUAUGUAGUUAGUAAGGACAAUGUGCUAAAGUACAUUAUGUCUUUGUUAAUAACAACAUUGAAGGACAAUGGUCCCCUAAUAAUUUAUCCUAAAAUAAACACCAUGGCUUUCCUUGUCAUGGCUUUGAACUUUCUUUUUUUAGCUUAAUCAAAGAUAGGUUGAGUUAACUUUUCACUUAUCUUAAGCUUUGCGCGCUAAUGAGUGACCACAGGCGGUACCAGAAAGUGCGAUAGUGACAAAAUCUUUAUCAUUUAAAAAGCCAAAUGAUUAUCCAAAUGAAGAAGAAAAUACGAUCGAUAACAAUAGUAGUGCCCAUUUGGAUUCUCAAACGGCACGGUAUUAAAGAAUUUGGUAAAGAGAAAAUGUCUAGAGUUUUACUCUAGGGGAGAAAAAAAAAAAGGUUGAAGUUAAAUUCUACUUGUUCCAAAAGUAGAAAUUCCUACUUUGUUGCAACAAGGUUGUUUGAGGAACAAAUUCAACGAAAAAGCGCGCAUGUCACCGUGUUUUCAAAUAGAUCUACUGAACAACAAUUUUGGUAUAGUUAAGAUGUAGCUAGUAUCGUAUCUCAUCGGUAAAAUAAGAAAUUUGAUCCAUGAAGAACAAAACUCCGGCUGGAACGCAAGCUGUUAAUUUAUUUUUUCAAAUUAGUUAUAUUGAUCUUGUUGUUGUUUUGGCCUGGUAUUCUCACUCAUUAGCUCUCUUAUCUAUAUGUUGUUUUACGAUAAUCAAAUAUAAGUUUCAACUUCACAAAUUUUGGAAAAUUGAGAUAUCACUGCAAGUCCGGAGUGUAGGGUUAGCCAAGUUAUUACUGUUGAGCUAGUAGUAUCUACAAAUGUAGCAUUCUUUUUGCUUUUUUUGCAAAAGCAAUCACUGUAUUUGUUUGUAAUGUGAGGUUACUGAAUCGCAUCCCAAAUUACAAUGAUAAAUAGAUCACUUGUAGAAUAUAUAUCAGGUAUAAGGUUUUGUUAUGUUCAUCAGAAAGUGUGACAUUCCAAUCGAAGUACUCAUCAAAUUAACCAUAAUUGAGAAAUGGUGUUGGGAGUUGAUAUUAUAUUGGAUAGUAUUGUUUUAGCAUGCAGUAGUUCUCUUUUUAUCGUCUUUUUUCCUUUCUUUUUCUUCUUGAAGGUAGCGACAGGGAUGUUUUUUUUCUUUUUUGAGAGAGAGAGAUAGGUAGCAUGCUGUCCGCUUUGUUUAUUUCAUUUAGAAAUAAACUUAGGGGGUGUUUGGUUCCCUGUAAAACCAGUCAGAAAAUUUUUUUUCGAUCGAAAAUUUUUUUCCGAUGUUUGGUUGCACGUAAAAUAUUUUUUAAAAAAAGUUGUUUUACAGAUUCUCCGAAAAAACCCCAUUUUUGUUUUCCGCCAGGUUUUCGCGGAAAACGAAAGUGGUCUCAAAAAAUCGGGCCUCACAGGGCCUUGCGCGCACGCGGUCCACGAGAUCAUCUUCAUCUCGUGGACCCGCGUGAGAGAGAGUCCACGGUGGACUCUCUCUUCCUCUUCCAUUAUAUAUAUAUAUAUAUAUAUAUAUAUAUAUAUAAUUACUUUUUUAUAUAAAUAUAUUAUUACGUAAUAUUUUAUAUAUAAAUAUUAUUUAUAAAUAUAUAGUAAUUUAUUUUAUAGUAUUAAAUAUAUAUUAUUAUAUAUGAUAUUACAUAUUUAUUGUAUAAUAUGUUUUAAAUAUAUUUUAUUUAUAAAUAUAAACUAAAAAUAAUAAUAAAUAUAGUAUGAUAAUUAUUAUUUAUUAAUAAUAUAUAAUAAUAUAAAAUAAGAAAAAAAUAUAUUAAUUUAUUUUUAUAACUUUUUCUUUCCUUUAUUUUCAAUCAACCAAACAACUGUAACAGAAAACUAAUUUUUUUUCCUACAAACCAAACGUUAAAGAGCGUAAAACUUCUUUUCCUCCGUAAAUAUAGUAUGAUAAUUAUUAUUUAUUAAUAAUAUAUAAUAAUAUAAAAUAAGAAAAAAAUAUAUUAAUUUACUUUUAUAACUUUUUCUUUCUUUUAUUUUCAAUUAACCAAACAACCGUAACGGAAAACUAAUUUUUUUUCCUACAAACCAAACGUUAAAGAGCGUAAAACCUUUUUUCUUCCGAAAAAAAAUUUUCCACAGUUUUACGUGGAACCAAAUACAUUCUUAGCUGAAAAUGUGAAUCAACUAGGAUUCGAACUUGAGACCUCGGAUACCAACCACUAAAUUCUUUGCUACUUGCGCCAGGGAUGAUUGGUGAAGUUGGCGGGAUGUUAAGGUUGAUCUUCUGUUGUAGUCGUGCAUUGCAGUGUAGCUACAAGCAAUGCGACUUGUACUCAUUCUCUUCUUAAUGAAAUUAUUUUAGAAACCUCCGAUUCAAAAAGGAAAAAAAAAAGAUUUUGCUAUGCUGAUUCUUGAAUUCGUUUGGUUUGGGAUUACGUAAGAACUAGUUAUUUCAAAAAUAGGUAUAAGCUCAUAGUUAAGCUAAAAAUAAUGUUUGGAUAGAUAAGAUAGAAUAAGAACAAUAGUGGGUGGUUAUAAAUAAAAAAUAAUAAUAUUGUCCCUUAUAUUUGAAUUUAAAUUUUUAAAUUUUAUAUUUAAAUUUUAAAAUUUAAAUAUAUAUCUUUAAAAAUUAAAAAUUUCAAAAUGAAAUUUAAAUUUGUAAAUCUAAAAUUCAAAAUUUUAAAGUUCUAAAUUUUAAAUUUAAGAUUAAAUUUAAAAUUAAAAAUAUCAAAUAUCAAAUUUUAAAUUUAAAAAAUUAAAAAUAAUAAUUAAAAAUCUAUAAUUUAAAAUUAUACAUAUUAAUUUAGAUUACAAAUUUUUAAAUUUAAAAAAUAAAAAGUAAAAAAUUUAAAUUUAUAAUUAUAAAGUUAAAUUUAAAAAUUAAAUUAGGGUGGGAUAAACUAAUCCCACCCCAAUUCUAGGGAGGGGGUGGGGUUUGUUAACGGAUUAUCUCGGGAUAAUCCUCUAGAGGUGGGUUUGUUUAACCCCACCCUCAUUUAAUGCCGUUUGGGGAUAAGGGGGGAUAAUAAGGGGGGAUAACCCUUUAUCCCCUUUUAUCCUCCGAAAAGUCUAUAUGGGGAUCUUUUAAGAUUACUGUAUCUUUUUUGAAGAGUGGUUAUUCAUUAUUUGUUUUUUUUUAGCUAGAGAGAGAAAGAAAGUUAGCAAGCCGUACUCAUUAUAUAUUUUUUUUGAGAGAGAUAGAUAGCACGCUACCCGCUUCGUUUAUUUUAUUUGGAAAUAAACUUAGCUAGAAAUGUAAAUCAACUAGGAUUCGAACUUGGAUCUCGGAUACCAGCCACCAAGCCCUUUGCCACUUGCUUUAGAAACGGUUGGUGAUACUCAUUAUAUGCUAGAAAUAGAGAAAUGAUAUUUCUAUUCAACUGUAAAGUAAAAAAAAAAAAAAAAAAAAAAAAUCAUUUACACAUGCAUACACGUAACUUCGAGUUGAAAAAGAAAAGGAUUAACACAUACUCAUGGUACUUUCGCUNAAAAAAAAAAAAAAAAAAAAAAAAGCUCUGCAUUUUAAAGAGUUCAUAAAGAUUAGAUUGGUCAGACUCAAAAUUGGAUCUUAACUUGAUGAUCAACAGGAAUGCUACUUGUACAUUUAAAAAAUUGCACAUAAAUCUUAUACUCUUCGUCCAAAACUUUAUUUUUUUUGCACUAAUCUUAAUUAAUUAUCACUCUCUUUUUUUUGGCACUAAUCUUAUCCAAAGACUUUUCCUUUGGUCAAAAGCUUGAGCAUUUAAAUUUGUACUCACUAUCGUACCAAUCAUCAAUAAUUGUAAAUAUUUUAUUACAUUGUCGGAUCAAAUCCACACAUGAACACCUCAUGAUCACAUGCAUGCAUUGGAUUAGCUAUGUGAUCAUGAUAAUGAACUCAUAAUAAACUUUUGCGUAUAUAACAACUAGUAAAUAGAAAGAAGUACUAAAUAAACUAAUCUAUUACAAAAUAGGUGAAAACUAUAUGUUGUUUCUUUGAGAAAAAGGUGAACAACUACUCAAACCUAUCCAAAUUGGUACAUGAAUGGAAUUUUACUUCAAAACGAAGUAAAGUAAGAUGGUAUCUAGAGAGAAGGUGUAUCAUAAAAUAAAUUAAUGACAUCUGAAACAUUAAAAAAAAAGUGCAUGAACCUUCUAUACCUUACUCAAGAGUAUAGUAAUCACUAACAAGAUAUAGAAGGUUCAGUAUAGUCUAAGACUCCACAUCAUUAAUUUUCUUAUUUCUUUACAACUCUCACAUUAUUUAAUGUGCAUGCAUGAACCUUCUAGUUUAUGAGGAGAAAUCGAUUAGGACACAGUGCAAAAAACCAUGUAUUAAUUUAAGAGUAUAUAUAAUAAUCACAAGUAUUUAAGUUCAAUAUAUAUGUAGGUUGAUUAUGUGUCUCUCAUUGAUAUGUUGCUUAGCUAAUCUUAUGCUUGUCUUUAAUUCCACCAUCUAAUGAACGAUUAACGACGGCUCCUAAAAGAGAAUUAUUUAAUCCAUUGCUUCAUGUAGAGAAUCAGCUACACAAAUAAAUUAAACUAUGUCCGAAGAUCUUGUAUGCUCUAUAUUAAGAUAACACAAGUUGGCCACCAUCGCAUGGAUUAACAUUAUUUAUUAUAUAUAUAGUUUUUAUUACUGAAUACUGAUCCUAAAAUACUACAAACGUGAAGCAAUUAGGUUUCAAAUUUAAUAUCUCGGAUACCAAUCAUUAAACUCUAAACCCCGUCAGGCUCCUAAAUUUAUUUAAUUCUUCUCACCUCUUUCUUAAUUUAGUGCCAUCUUAAGCUUUUAGUACGUCUUUAAUUAGUUUAUAUGGGACAAAUAUUGUUUAGUGAGUACAUCACUACAUCUUCAGCUUUUAGUAUGCCAUUAAUUUACAUGAGAUACGGCCCCUAUUAUAUUUGUUUAGUAUCAGCUUUUAUUAUGUCCUGAGAUACGGCCUCUAUUAUACUAAAGGGGCAAUUUCAUAUAUGCCCCUCAAAAUAUUCAAAUAUCACGAAUUCCCCUACAAAUCUCAAAAUAUCACAAAUAUUUUCCAAAUAUGACCUAUUAUAUAUAGCACGAAUAUCCUUGCCGUUUCCAUCCUACAUUGACGGUAAUUGUGACAUCCCCAGAAUUUGAAAUAGUCUGAUAUAUCAAAUAUAAUAGGAUUAAGCUUCUUAACCCGAGUAUACCAUUUUGGACGGUGGCUAAAUCUAAAAGGUUAAGAGGGCUAAGUAUUUUAGGAUUAGAAUAGUUUUAUGAUGGAUGACGCCCUUAGGAUGCGGGACAUCACAGUUGAUAUCACAGUCAAUCAUCAGCCAGAAGUGUGAAAUAAGCCUCGAGGCCCUCAACUGAGCGAGGGUCAUACAAAUCUCGGUUGAACGAAGGUCAUAUAUAUAAUGGGCUGAGUGUGGCUCCCCGAUUGACGAUCAUGUAUAAUAGAACUAAACUUAUCAACUCGGCAAUAACGUUUGACCUAGUGGCUAAGCCCAAGAGGUUAAGAUGAUUAAACACGCUAGGAUUAGAGUAAUUUUUGAAUGGAUGACUCUCCUUGGGAAGCGAGACGCCGUAGUAAUCCAGGUUUGAGACUAGUUUAAUAUAAGUUUAGUUAUAGAAUGACAUUGUUGACCUUCAAAAUGCAUGUUCUUUGGAUAGAAAUGUAUGGAAGCUUCCUCACCUACAGUACAUUCUGAAAUAGCCCCCUCCAAUUUUUUUUCCCCCCUUGAAUCGACACCUUCUUCAACUUUUUUUUUUUUUUUUUUUUGGUACUCAAGUGAUUAUUCAAAUAUUAUCAAAUUCACGAGUGAUUUUGUUGAAUUUAAUAUUUUAAACAUCUUUUAAUAACUAAAAUUAAUAUAAUUAACAACUAAUAUAUAUAUAGCUAAUAGACCAAGUAAUUUUUUUUUUUAAAAAAAAUGUAACCAUAUAUCUAGAAAAACUCAAAUUAAAAAUUGAAAAUUUAUGUGGGUAUCAAUAAAAAAAAAACUGUCAUGCCUUUUUUUCAUUACGACACCUCAAUUUUUAAUUUUUUUAAUUAAGUGAUUUCAGUCAAUUAUAUUAAAGAUAUUAUUAUAUUUACGAGCUAGCUCAAAAAUAUAUAUAUAUAUUUACGAGCUAGUGACUAAAUUCAAUUUAAAAUUUUACUCACUAUUUAGCACAAAGAAACUAAAAAAAAUUGACAAACUAAUAACCAUUAGAGCUAAUAGAUUUCAUAAUAAUGUCUAGCAUAAUUAAUUAGAAUUACUUAAUUUGAAAAAAUAAAAAGUUAAGUGACUAUUUCAAAAGAGCUUGUAAUAAUCACGAAAGCAAUGCUACAGGUACACCCUAAAGUGGGGUGUACAUCUUAUAUCCACUCCAUCCUAAUAUCAUUUUUAUCAUAUCAAUUUUCUUAAAUUUUACUAAAAAUUAAUUCGAUUUUCAUCAACCCUAGGGUUGCGGGUGUAAAAUGUAUUUGGGGUGUACAAUAAGCAUUUUCCUAAUCACAAGGAUAAAAUAGAUAUUUGACAGUUUCAACAGCUAUUUUGGAUAAAAAAUGUAACCAUGAGGGAUAAUUGUGAUAUUUUCUUCAAUUUAAAAGGUAUACAUGAUAUUUUAAACUCUUAGGAGUAAUGAUGAAAUUUUAAGUUCCAAAAGGCGCAUUCACGAAAUGUUUCCUAUAAUAAAACACUUUUCUAAACAAUAUAGUGGGGCUAACUUUUGGUUGGCAUGUACACUAACGAUCGAGCCCAAAAGUACGGGAGUAAAUAAUAAGCACCAAGUGGUGUAAAUUGAUAACGAUUUAUUAUAUUAUGCUUAAAUCAACUAUCUGAAAUAUUUAAGUCGAGUUAUCAUUAUUAUGGUGCAUGACUUUUUAUAUUUCCAAUUAGAAUUUCUUUUUCAUCCGAUGUGAGACUUUUAGGCAUUACAGAUUCUCUUUGUUUAGAUUAGCUAUCAGGCGAUAUGAGAUACUACAGGCAGCUCAUAUAGGUUCGAGAGGUGACUCUCACCAAACUAGUAGUGUAACAUUUUAUCCUGCAUAUAGUACUUAAUUAGCUCUUACAAGUUUACAGUGAUUCUUCUCUUCCUAUUUGGUUUAUACCUUAGCCCUUCACAUCAAAGACUUAAUGAAAGCUCUCCCUACUUUGUUUCCUUUUCAGAAUCAUAACAUAGUUUUAUCACAAAGUAUAUAUAAAAGUCACAACUUGUCUAAUUGAUAAACUAGCUUCCACAAUUAAGUUUAAGACAUGCAUGUAAAUGUAUUGUAUUCUAAGGUCAUUAUAAUUACGUGCAUACGUACCUUCUCUCAUUCCCAUAAAUUUUCUUACCUCUAACAUAUAAAAACUGUUUGGCAAAUUUUUUCGAGGGGUCCAAUCAGUGUGGCUUUCUAACUAGAUACAUAUUAUUGUUUAUACCUUCGACCGAUUCUUGCUUUGACUAAAUGAGAAGGAAAAUUGAUCGAUGAUCUAAAACUAUUAAAAUUAAGAAAUAUGUAGAAAGCGAGCGAAGAAAAUUUUCGACCAAUUGGCAAGCUGCUUGACUGUUGCUUUGUUGAUGAUGAAUCAUCUUUUGAAUUACCAUAGUUUAUCCAAUAAUGUAAGAAUUUUAUGUACAGUUUAGUAAUAUUGAUAUCAAUUUGCUAGCAAAUUAAGUAUAUUUGUGAUGCCCACAGUUGAGGGUGAUAUGUACGUAGACUUAUUUAUAUUUAGUAUUUUUGCAUGUACAUUAUGAUACUGUUCCAAAUCAUCACAAUGAGCUCAUAAAUUAUUCAAAUUGCAACUUGCAAAUCACUCUUUGAGCAAGCAUAUAUAUUUUGCAAUUUAUUAGUUCUUUAUUUUCAUAAAAAUCAUGAUACGAGUCUCUCAUUCUUUUAUGUGAAACAACCGUUAUACUCUAAAAGCUUAAGCUGUUAGAGAACGGUAUUUAAGCAUUUUUAUAUUUAACACUCCCCCUCACGUCUGGGCUCGAGACUUUUUAAUCGGCCCAUGACGUGGGCUUGAAUUAAAUGGGAGAAAAUUAAUAUGUUAGGAGCCUGGUAUGACUCGAACUCAGGACCUCCUGCUCUGAUACCAUGUGAAACAACCGUUGUACUCUAAAAGCUUAAGUUGUUAAAAAAUGAUAUUUAAACAUUUUUAUAUUUAACAUUUUACAUUUAGAGAUCCAAAGUUAUUAAAGUGGCUAUUCCAAUAAAUGUAUAAUGAAAACCACAAAUAUAUAUAGCACUGUUGUUCAGCAACUUGUCUAUAAAUUAGAACAACACUGCAACUUUUUUUUUUGCAUUAUAUAUUAUAACAUAUUCAUUCACAAAUUUAAUACCUGGUUUAGAUAUGUUACAAGAUCACUUUCAUAUGAACAUCUACAUCCACAAAUGUAUAGCACUGUUGUUCAGCAACUUGUCUAUAAAUUAGAAGAACACAGAAACUUUUUUUUUUAUUGCAUUAUAUAUUAUAACAUAUUCAUUCACAAAUUUAAUACCUGGUUUAGAUAUGUUACAAGGUCACUUUCAUGAAUAUCUACAUCUUUUUUUUUUAUAUUUUUUCUGUGGCUCAUCUUUGCUCACUUUCAUAAUUUUUAUAAUAAGAUCUAAGAAAUCUUUGUAGAUGACAAGGGAAAUUUUAGUUAGGUGGGCUUCUUGAGCCCUCAAUUGUCGAGUUCAUGGCGGUCGAAGAAGAUGAACAUCUUAAUUUGUGGACCGUGGUGAUUGAAUCGGUUGUGUUGAACUUAAUUUCUUGUGAACUAACGCAUUUAUGUGCUUCUAAAUUGACAUCAUUUCAUGAAUUAAGAUAAUAUACUCACCAAGUUUAAACUACAGUUACGAAAGAAUAUACAAAAUAAUUUGUAUCUAAAGCUGAUAUUUUAGACAAUGAAUAGGCCAUUAAAGUUUCUUUCUCCCCUUUUGUUUUAUCUUUGUUUUUUUUUUUAAAUUCCAAAAGUAACAUGCACCACUAAGUCUCAAUAGCUGAAGCAUUAUUUUAUCAUGGCUCAUUUCUCUCUUGGUUCUUCUCCUGCUAAUUCUUUUGAGGCAUAAUUAGAGAGAGUCACAAAACAUAUUCAAAUAUAUAUGGAUUAAUAUCUCUCUACAUAUUUUAACAAUACAGAAAAAUUAAUGACUACAAAUUAAAACAAAGUUUAAAGGAUCAUCAACUAAGUCAUAGACAAUAGAAUAAAUAAGAAGAUUAAUUUCUAUGUUUAAUGGUCUAAUUGGUCAUUUGAAUCCACUAUUUUAAAAUGUUUAUGUGGAAAUUAAAGAAUAUGAAUAAAGAAGCAAGUUUAUUUUUUACUAAUGGCUACGCACCGUCGAAUGAUGAAGUUAGGAUUUAGAGUGUUUCUUCCACGAAACUAAUUAUUAUUAAGAUGCAAACAGGAAGAGGUCGAAACGAACUUUUUUUUUUAAUUUUUUCAUCUUCUCUCUUCUCUACAUAUAUUUGAAAUGCUCUAGGCUUUGAUUUGAUAAACAUCAACUUUUCAAAAAUUAAAAAAAGAUAAUUAAAUGCUAGAGGAACCUUUUAGUCGGAGAAUUAUCUCUUUCUUUUCUAUCCCUGCACCAAAUUUUAGCAAAAAUAGGUUAGAAAGAGAUUACAAAUAAAUCAAAAUAUAGAAGAACUGAGUAUACAAAUUAUAUCAAAUCAUAAUAAAAGACAACUAGCGGUACCCGCAAAAAUUUAAAUAUUUUCUUUUUCUAACAUUUAGCUGAUGACGACGACAAAAGAUCGAAAGAAUCUUGGAUUGUGCUUCUUCAUAGGAACCAAUUCUAAUGGUUUUGUUUAGUUUAUAUCUAUUUAAUAAAAUGUUGUAAUUGUACCUUAACUUGGUCCUGUAUUGGUUAAUUAACUUUUUCUUUUUGGAGGCAUUCAUGAUAUUAAGUAUUGGACUUUGCUAACAAGGAACCAAAAGGGUUUUAUCUCCUAUCAUAACUAUAAAUAUUUGUUGUUAAAUGCAUUAUAAAUGGUGUAGUAUAUUGCUCUUCUAAGAAUGUGGCUUAGAAAAAUUCACUACAAGUCAUAUAUGGUUGGAACUGUACUGGUCCUUGAUAAGUCAUUUAUUUGUAAUGAAUAAUAAAAAUAGGAAUAUAAUAAUUAGCAAUUUGCAAAUAAGAAUAGUUUUUAUACAGAAAAACUUAUGACCAAAUUGUUAAAAAAAUUGAGGAAUCUCCCUAUAUGGACGAACCUAAAUGCCUAGAUCUAUAGCUUGGACCUGUACAUUCUAAUCAUGCUGCAUAAUUGAACAUUCUAAUGUUAAAAUAACUUGAAAUUGCAUUAUUGAACUGUUUGUCCACAAGAAAUUAAACUCCUAAUUCUUUGCCAUGAAUGUUGCAUCAUUUUGGCCUCAAUAAAACUCCAAUUAUUAUUUGGUUGGGUAUGUACCAAAAAUACUACUAAAAUAAGCAUAUCAUUGUGGGGCUUCAAAGGAGAUCAUGUAGCUUCAAUCCCCUACCUUCAUCCUCCUCCUUUUGGUAGUGCUUCUUUUUGUUGCACAUGGUUGCAUCCAGUGAAACAUUGCAUCAACACAACCUCAUCAUUAAAAUACUCAAUUGCUAACUCAACUGAGUCAACUCACGAGUUUUGAGCUUUCGCUAUGGUGAAAAGUUAAAACACAAUAAUACGACCCAAACGCUUCUGCUUUUGCCGAUGCAAGCUUUUGAAAGGACUUCAAUAUAAACGCACGGUAUUAAUAUUUCUAUAAACAGCUUUACUAGAAUAGUGUAUCCGAGCUUACCGCUAAACAAAAGAAGAAAGAAUAAUUGGUUUCAAAUUGAAGUCAAAUUAACAUACCGAGUUGAACGAAGCUCAACUCGGUGACUCGAUUGGACCAUUUAGCUAGGUUUACAUGAGCCCAAAUGCGCAAGUGGGCUAACACAAGUUGCACAAGUGUGUUAAGAAAGUUCUUGGACCUUACCUAUCCCCUUAAAAGUGCUUAACUGAUGAGCUCGAGAGAAGCAAAACUGGUCCCAGCAGGUUCUUUUCUUGUCCUUCUCUCCAGGACUUAUUUUCACUCUCAAAUUAUUCCCACCAAUGACAUGCUCUCUGACAAACAGAUCCCAAAUUUUGCAGUGCCCAACAGCUUCUUGCCUCCUCCUAGUGCUUUGCAGGGCUUUGGAUUGGUGGCCCCACACAAAUUUCCCCAUAAAUGAAAAUGAUGAUAAUAAUAAGAACUAAAAGCAACAGAUGCUAAAAAUACUUUACUUUUUUAUCUAUUUAAAGCUCCUUUCCUCCAAUACCUUUGUUUCCUUCCUACUCUUUUCUUUCAAACCAAACCUAUCCUUUCCCUCUUCUUUUCCCCCCCUAUAACCAUGCCAGAAACCCACAAGCAAGAAGUAAGCUCUCUCUCUCUCUCUCUCUCUCUCUCUCUCUCUCUCUCUAACACACACACACAAUAUAUAUAUAUAUAUAUAUAUAUAUAUGCACAAGUUAAAGGAGCAAAAUGAUGGAUUAUUAGGUUAUUUGGCCAAGAUUGGUGGCCAACAAGCUGUUCCGAAGGCCGAUGAGCUCCUUCGUCGCAGACUUUCCAAGCUCCGAAAUGAUUGUAGAAGCAGCGAAAGCCGACCAACACACUGAGUCGCCGGGGACUACUCUCAAUGAUCCCAAGGAAACUCACAAGUUCAAGUAAGCCUAAAACAAAUUAUCAUUUUCUGAAAAAACAAACUUAGAACACAAUAUAGAUAUAAUUAGUUUUCCGCAUUAAGGCUUUUCUCGAGCACAUGGAAUGUCGGAGGCGUCGCACCGCCGGAUGAUCUCAACUUGGAAGAUUGGUUAGACACGAAGAACAACUCCUACGACAUCUAUGUUCUCGGGUACAUAGUUAUUUAUUUCCUUACUUGAGAAAAGUUUACAAGUUUUGAUUUGAUUUGAUGCAUGUUGUUGUGGACUAGAUAGUGAUAGCUAGUAACUGGAUCCAUGCAGGUUCCAGGAAAUCGUCCCGCUUAGCGCGAAAAACGUCCUAGGGCCCGAAAAGAACCGGAUCUCGACGAAGUGGAAUUUACUUAUUAGGGAUACAUUGAACAAGUCAUUGUGCAACUUCAAUGGGGACCAAGAAUCUAAGGUAGAGGAGAGCUUCGCAAGAGACUUCCAGUGCGUCGUGAGCAAGCAGAUGGUCGGAAUUCUGGUGUCAGUUUGGGUGAGAGGCGAUCUUCAAAGCUACGUUCGCCACCCGAGUGUCUCCUGUGUCGGCUGCGGUGUACUUGGUUGCCUAGGAAACAAGGUAUAUAUAUUGUAAUUUUCAAAGUAGGGAGUAGUGUUUCAUGAAUUUUCACUUACUUACUAACUAAGGUAAAAGCUACUAGGUAGCUAGGAUGUAAGAUAAUUUAGUGUGAUUAAGAUUGUUUUUUUUUCUUCUUCUUUUUUUUUCCAAUUUUGUGUUCGAAUUUUGGUUGUGCAGGGUUCGGUAUCGGUUAGGUUUUGGUUGCACAAUACGAGCUUCUGCUUCGUGUGUUGUCAUUUGGCGUCGGGAGGUAAAGAAGGGGAUGAGAUGCAUAGAAAUUCAGAUGCCAUGGAGAUACUGCGAAGGACGAGUUUCCCGCGUGAUCAUGCCCUCGAUUUACCGCGAAAGAUCUUAGAUCAUGAGUAAGUACACAUUAAUUCAUUGUUAUUACUACAUAAGACAUAGUAUCGAGUGACGAUAAAUUGUUGAUUUAAACUGUGAGUUUGAUCUCAAGAAAUUAUCUCUUAAUUUGUAGCUAGGCUCAAUUACAAAAAAAAAAGUAUAAAUAGGUAAUUGCGCUGCUUGAUCUAAAAUCAAUCAAUGCCUAUGUUAUUGUUUAAUAAAAAAUUAAGGAAUUGUCACAUCAUGAUACGACAUCAGCUAACCACUAAAACUUAAGCAAAUUGUUUGUAAUUUAGCUAAUUUAGACCAAUCUGGUUCAAAAGUUAGUGGAUCCAAUUCACAAAAUAAACACCACUAGCUUGGUUUAAUUACCUAAAGCAAAAAAGAAAGCGAUACAAGUUGUAGCAUAUUAAUCUAUUCUAUCGACUAUAUAUGAUGAGGGUACAAUUCACGAAUAUUAACAAAAUCUCAACAAGUUGUAUUAUUUAACUUUGUUUCAAAGUUUGAGCUAAUUGGUUUCGUUUCUCUUUUAAUUAAUGUACGUGCACAGUCGAAUAAUCUGGCUCGGAGACUUGAACUAUAGAAUCUCAUUGCCCGGAUCAAUGACGCGAUUAUUAGUGGAACAAAAGGAAUGGAAAGUUUUGUUAGAGAAUGAUCAGGUAUUUGUUAACACAUGUUCGAUCUCAAAUAAGAUAAAAAUCCUAAUGAUCAAAUCAUCUGAUCUUUUUACUCAUAAUUUACGCAGUUACGCGGGGAGGUUUUGGAAGGUCGAGCUUUCGAAGGUUGGUGCGAGGGUGCUAUCAAAUUCUCCCCUACUUACAAAUAUUAUCCGAACUCCGACAAAUAUUACGGGUGCAUUCAAGGCAAAAAAGGCGAGAAAAAGCGCGCACCUGCAUGGUAACUACUAACAAAUAUUUAAAAUUUGUGUUCAUGUAAAUUUUGAACUAAACUUCAUAAGAAUUGUUGUGAAUUUAAUGAAUUCUUUUCUUAAUUAUGUUUCCUUUUACUUAGGUGUGACCGGAUUCUCUGGCAUGGCAAGGGCAUGAAGCAAAACCGGUACGAUCGGUGCGAGUCGAGGCUGUCGGAUCACCGACCUGUGAUAGCUCUUUUCACUGUGGAGGUUAAAGCUUUCAUGAGAAAUUCAAACUCUUUAAGAAGCUUCUUUUUGUCGGAGAGGUUCAAUAUAAUAAAAGGCCAUGGUGAAUUGUUUCGCAAAGAUGAGCAUAUCAGAAGUGGAAGAUUCAGCGAAAAUAUUUAAGCUUAGCCCCAUCUUGUUCUAUAUAUAUAUAUUUUUUUUUGGUACAUGAUGAUGAAUCCUAACCAAUGAACUCUCUAACUUCUAAUGUUUAGAAGACAUCGAUCGAUCAACGAUAGUACAUAAGAGAACGUAGGAAAAAGCUAUUUUGAAUGCAUCUUUUCCUCUCAAAUAUAGAAAAUGUAGAAAUGUGAAUUUGUAUAGAAUUACACUAAUUGCAUGGAGUUUAAUUAGCAACUAUUUACAUUGUGCAUUGAUUUGAUGCCUCUAUAAACUAUUGUGGGUGGGUAAGAAAAGGACAAGUUUUUGCUUACAUUGUAAAGUUUGUGUGGAUUGGAGUGAGGUGGGUUAUGAACUAUGAACACAAAAUUAAACAAUUGCAACAAGCAUCAUGGACCAAAAUUUUCAAUUGGGUAUAUUCUUUGUCCACAUAUGGUUUCUUUCAUCAAUGACAACUAAGAAAAGGGCCAAUAGUUUGGUGGGGGUGGUGGAUCAAUUGUAGAAAAAUACAUGUGGGGUUGUUUAUGACUACUGUGUCUCUCUCCUCUUGUCUAAGUUAAAGGAAUCAAAGAAGAGGUUAUGUCUCAUCAUAUAUUGUGCUUCUAUCAUUGGUAGUCACUAAUGUUAAAUAUUAUUUCCUUGUUGGAUAAUACAAUUUAUUAUAUAUAUAUAUAUGUUAGGGAUCUAGUUAGCUCUUGGGAAAGGUCAAUAUAUGUUGGCUUUUUUAGUGUAUUAAUUAUAUCAAUAAAUUCUAAAUUGGUCCUUAUGAUGUAUGACCACUUGUUUCUUAACUAUAUAAUAUCAAAAAGUCCAUCCCCACCAAGUGAUUUAUUUGAUAGUUAGAGGAGGGAAUAUACAUGACUUGAUAGUGGUAAGUAAUUAAGUAGUUAGACCACUUAUAUAAGUGGAUGGCCAACUUUGAUUUUUAUUUUUAUUUUUUUGUCUUUCAUUUAAUAGUUUGGGGUAGAGAAAGGAUGCUACAUACUUGUAUAGCUUUAUAUAUUAAAUCAAAGGUAAAAUGUAUGCAUGGUCGUUCUUGUAAUUUUGCCAUAUAGUAACUGACCAUACCUAACGCAAUUGACUAAGGGCGUGACGGUUGGUAUUGGAGACCCCAAAUUUUAGAAAAUGAACGCAACAGAUAACUUGCUACCUUUUUCUCAAAAAAGAAUCAAGUGCUAAGCACAUGGUGUAAUAAUGAACACUAACAUUAGUGCAUGACGUGAGCCUAACCCGUGUUGAGAGGGAAGCGCAAAAACAGAAAAAAGAGAUAGACGAAGGACACAAUUCUUCAACAAACAUGAAAAUAUUGUUAAUCAACUCUAAAAGCCUAAUUAGUAAUUACAUUAAUCGAACGCCACAUCUAUAUAUAUAUAGGGUCGAUACCUGAAUCCUACUAUAAUUAAAGAUAAGUCUAAAGUAUUGGGACUAAAACUCUAUAUAUAUCACGAAAUUGCAAGGACUAUUCGUGAGUUUUAUCAUCGAUUAAACUAUAUCCUUGCCUCUACAUGAUUUUGAAAUAGUUAGGCUAAAUUCUAUCCUCUUACUGUAACUUGGUCGGCAAUUCCAUCCAAACACAUCAAUUACAACAUCUAAAUAACACUAUGAACAAAUUGAAGAACAAGAAUUAAAGUGGGACUCAACUAACCUUUAUUUUAAUUAGUAGAACCCUAAUGAAACAAACAACAACUUUAAUCGAUGAUCGUCGCUUAUCCGACAAUUACUGCUGCAUUAAAUUUCUUUUUUUUUCCCCUCCAAUUGCUAGGUCAAGCACUGCACCACAAACUGCAAGAACAAGAAGCCAUUUUAAGAGCAAGUUGGUGCAUGGACCCACAAGCUAAUUAUACAAUUAAACUUGUGGUUAGGUUCAUCUUGGGUUGGGUCAACUCUUGGAAACAAUAAAACAAACAGCUUGUUGAUGGGAAACAGCUAUAUAUACAUGUGUGUAAACACUAUAUGAGAUAUAUAUCAUAGCCUAGCUUUUAUUAUUUAGUCAAAGAGACACUUAAGGGAGCUUGUCUCUUUGCUACUGUCACCAGUGAAGCACAGGAAAAUGACCUGCAUCUAGAUUGCUCUUUAUUAUUCUCUAUUAUGUACAUUGAUAUGUAUGUUACAAAAUAUCUUGACAUUUUUAACCAUAGCUUUGAGUUGUGAAAAAAUACUACUAUAUAUCUAUGUGUUACAAAAAUGUAUGUAACCUGUGGUUACAUAAACAUGUGCAUUUGUACGUACAUUCAAUAAUAUAAAAAACAAAAUGAUGAUAUGCUACGAAAAUUAGGGGAACUAAGAAAAGAGAUAUGAAGAUAUAUAAGAAAUAGAACCCAAUAAUAUAACAUUGCUACUAGUUUGCGUGUUUAAAAGUAGGAUUUCUUAAGUCCUAUGUUGGGUUCGGGUUGGCUCGAGCUCAGAUCGGAUACCUGGUUCAUUUCUCAGAUCUUGUAGACCUGACAUUUUGAUGAAACAAUUUGUAAUCUCAAAUAGUCUCUGGUCGCAAAAUGAAUGUGUCAGAAAACAUUAUGGAUACUUUGCAUAAUGUUAGAUAGAAAAAUUAAACUUUGCAUGUUCAAUUAAGCUUAUGAUCGAGUUGUUCACACAUGCGCAGAGUUUCGAAUGUUCAAUCGAGCUUAAGGGCAUGUUUUUUGAAGGUUCAAUGGAGCUUAGAGACGCGCGCACACGCACACAUAUAUAUAGAGAGAGAGGCCCAAAUUGUUUUAGAGGGAUAGUAACCCAAUGGGCCCUAAGCCCACGUUAGAGAGACUUUUGGCCCGAUUACAUUUAAUCUCGAUCUGGCAAUUCAGCUCACUGUUCGCGAGCCGACUAGUGUUCAGCUCAAGUUUAAGGACAAUCCAAAUGUAAAGCAACCUCUAUUUUGUGAACUUUAAUUAUUAGAUCAAGAUUCUAAUUUUCUAAUUUUCUUUCUACUUUUCACUCAAUAGUAGGGUUGACAAUCUAACUAACUGUUCGCGAGCUAGCUCAUGUUCGGCUCGUUGAUAAACAAGCCAAACACAAGCUGAAUUUGUCUACUUCUCGGGUUCGGCUUGUUGACGGCACGGAUUUAACCAUAUUAAAUUUCAAAAUAUAUAAAUAAACUGUCAAUGCACUUCAAUAGUUUUUCUUGAUAAAUAAUAGUUAUAUUAAUAUUAAUAUUAGACAACCCCAACCUCAUUUUUUAGGUAGUUAAUAAUUUUUUUUAUAUAUAUUACUCUUUCUAUUAGCUGAUAAUUCAAGUGCACAAGUGAUCAAAACUCUUAAAUUUGAUAGAAUCACUCAUGAGUUUAAUAAAUUUAUAAUUUAGUUGAUAAAAAUCAGUAGCUGUAAAAAGAUAAAAGUUACGGGGUGUGAACGUAAAAAAAAAUGUACUUGAUGGGGAGCCAUUUCAGAAUGGCCUGUAAGGGAGGGGUCUUCAUGCAUUUAUUCCGAUCAUACUUGAGAAAUGCUAAGUCCAAAAGACUAUGUACAACCCAAGGUUUUAAGUGCCCGUCGGCACGGAUCGUAUCCACCAUAUCGUAUUGUAUCAAUAAGAUACUGGCACGAUACAGAUCCCGUCAGCUCAAAACCCUAUAUUCUUUAAAUUAGUAAGUAAUUUUUUCAAUAAAGUUCAAAAGAUGUGAUAAAAAGAUAUAAUAAAUAGUUAGAAUAUUUUGUUGCUAAAGAAAAAAAAAUAUUUCAUACUACUAUGUGUCGGCACACAAGAAUUUUUUUGACCGGCACGCAUCGGCACGGUUCGACACAUAUCGCGCCAUACCAUGCCGGCAUGUUUCCAAUACGACCUCAUGCCACGGCACUUAAAUUCUUGAUACAACCGAUAGUUAUUGUAAUUUUUGCCGCUCGUAAUCUAAUACUUUUAACCCGUUUGGUUCGGGUACAGCGGCCUUGUACCAGGUUGGGGUGGAACAAGUGUUCUACCCCUUGUUCCUAGGGGUGGAACAAGUUUCCACCCCUCCCAGGUAAAGAGAGAGAGAGAGAGAUUUUUAAUUUUAAUUUUAAUUUCUAAAAUUUAUAAUUUAUUUUUUUAAAAUUUAAAUUUAUAAAUUUAAAUUAUAAAUUUAAAUGUUUAAAUUAUAAAUUUGAUAUUUGUAAUUUUUAAAUUUUAAAUUUAAUUUUUUAGAUUUAAAAUUUAAAAUUAUAUAUUUUAUAUCUUUCAAAUUUAAAUUUGAUCUUAAAUUUAAAAUUUAAAAUUUAAAAUUUAAAAUUUAAAAAUUAUAAGUUUUAAUUUUAAUUUAAAUUUUAAAAUUUAAAAAUUAAAAUUAUUAAUUUAAAAUUAUUAGUUUAAAAUGUUAAAUUCAAUUAUAGAGGUAAAAUUAUUCUUUUCUAUCUAUAACUACCAACUAUUCCGCCUUACACUCAGAUUUUUAUCCAAACAUAAUUUUUCUAGUUCCAGCUUAUACUCGCAUUUUCAUCCAAAUAAAAAAAUACCCUUACUAUUCUUGUACCUAUCCCCGGUAUAACUAGUUCUUUCUUAUACCCGAACCAAACGAAGCCAAAACUAGCUAAGCGUUUGGAUCAGGUAUAAAGGGAGGGAUAAGGGGGUUAUCCCCCUUUUAUACCCAAACAUCAUUUGGGGGGGGGGGAUGGGAACUAGUUGUUCCCACCUACCGGGUUAGGUGGGAGUUAGGUGGGAACAACUAGUUCCCACCCAGGUAUGGAAUAAGGGAUGGGAACAAGUUGUUCCCAACCCCGGAUAGAGAGAGUGAGAGAUUUUUAUUUUAAAUUUAAAUUUAAACUUUUUAAAAUUUAAAAUUUAUAUUUAUAAUUUAAAAUUAUAAAUUUUAAAGUUUAAAUUUUAAAUAUGAUAUUUUUAAAUUUUAAGUUUUAAAUUUGAUAUUUUUAGUUUUUAAAUUUUAAAUUUGAUAUUUUAUAUUAAUUGAAUUUAAAUUUGGUUUUAAAUUUAAAAUUUGGUAUUUAAAAUUAAAAUUUUAAAUUUUAAUUUCAAAUUUUAAAAUUUAAAAGUUAAAAUUUUUAAUUUUCAUUUUAAAAUUAUAAGUUUAAAAUUAAAAAAUUUAAAUUCAAUUAUAGGGGUAAUAUCAUUAUUUUUAUUUAUAACUAACAACUAUUUCACCUUAUACUCACAUUUUCAUCCAAACAUAAUUUUUCUAGUUCCAGUUUAUACUCACAUUUUCAUCCAAAUAAAAAAAUAUUCUUGUUCCUACGAAAACUCAUACUUGUAUCUAUCUCCGGUAUAACUAGUUAUUGCUUAUACCCGUACCAAACGAAGCCUUAAUAAGAAUCUAAACUACCUUUUUCAGCUUUUAAUUGAACAAAAAAAUAAAACUACUGUAUUAAUUAUAGUUUUGGAUGGUCUAAAUUGUAAGAUUAUAAUUCGACUAGAUAUUUUUUGUCUAUUUGAUCCCAUUUAGAUAUAAUUUUAUAUUAUAUAUUACUUUUAUCAUCUUAUCUCAUAAUAAUGUUAUUAUUAUAAUAAUUAAAUCAAAAGGGUGGUAAAGUGUGGGACCUAAAGGGGAACACUAAGAAAAAGAAGUGGAUGAUGUUUGAUUUGGUACAAUUUAUUGCCAAAUCACAAUCAUUCUACAAAAGGGUGUAAAAAACAAAUAAAAAAUCCAUUGAUACAAACAAACAAGCAAUUCCCCCACAUGGCCUAGGAGCAUAUUCCAAAUUUAGUGGCCUUGAGGGGGAUUAUAUAAAAAAAAAAAAAAAAAAAGUCUACUAGUUAAGUAAUGCUUGGAGUGUAUAUCUUAUAUUCCAAAUAAAAAUAAUUUAGAUUAAUCCAAUUUAAAUUGGAUUCUUAUUCUCCCCUCUAUUUUCGAAUCAAAUAAUUAAAAUAAUAGUAGCCGUCAGAUUUGAAAGUUGUAAGAUCGAUGUACAUCUUAGAUUAGGGUGUACAGCUAUCACGCUAAAAAAAAAAAUGUUUACAACUGGUACACUUUUAAAGAGAGUGUUAAUAUUACACUCUAUAUCUAAUGAUUAAUAUUAAGUCAUUAUCUUAUAAAAAAAUAAAAAUAAUAAUUUUUUUUAGAUUUUUAACUCCUAAGAAGAAUCUCGAAUAAAUUGGAUUGUAAAUUUAAUUAGAACAAUACAACAAUUUUGAGCAAAAAAUUAUAAUAAAUUAAAAUUUGAGGACCCAAGUGUUUAUGUGGCUCAUAGUUUGAGGACAAAAUGUGCAUUUUAGUCCUUUUAUUUUAUUUAUUGGUAUACUCUAAAGUAGAGUGUUAUGCCGCUCAACUCAACUCUAAAGUAGAGUGUUAUAAUAAAUUAAAAUUAUUUAAAUUUUUAUAAAUCUUAGAAUGGAGGACGUAUGUGACACCCUUAGAAUUAAUAAUAAUUCUAUAUAAAGUAUAGUAAAACUAAAUCUUUUAAUUCGGUUAUAAUAUUUUGGAGAAUGACUAGGCCUAAAACGUUAAUAGGAUUAAACAUAUUAAGACUAGGCGUCACAGUAUAAGCAUGUUUUUUACGAUAAAAACUUAGACAACUUACCUGAAUUAUAAAUUAAUUUAAAAAUUUGGAUUUUAAUGUCCAAUCUUUUUGAUCUAUUUGAUUUAAUCCAAUCAACGAUAUUUUGACUUCAAAUCUUAAGCUAAUUUUGAACUUUAAUGAAUUUAUAUAUAGCUAGAUGUAUUUAAAUUUUGAAAUCAAAAUAUCGUUGUCUAACUCAAAUUAAAUAAUUUUGUAUGUUUUAAUUUUUUUUGGUUAUUAUUAUUAUUAUAUAUUAUAUAAUCAUUAUUAUUAUUACAACUUUAACUCAAAUAGGAAUAGAAAUAUAAAGGACACGUGUACAACGGCGGGUUCUUCAACCCGUGGGCGUGCGAAAAAAACAGUGCGCCUCGUACGUGCCCAUCCCGGCACGGGCGCCGAGGCGCUGUUCGCUGUUCGCUGUUGUAUUCGCCGCGUCCCCACCAACAUCCCUCUCCUCGGCGCCGCUCGAUUGGAUUAGAUCACCAAAUAAACGGUCAUGAUCUACCCUGUACGAUGUUCUGGUGUUGUGGGUCGCGCAGCGGAUCGGUUUCACCCCGAAAUCCCGCAGCGUUCUAGAAAGGGAAGUAACCCCCGGGAUACAACUCCGCCAUCGCAGUUUGGGUUUAAUUACCGGAUAUGCCACUCCGUCUUAUCCCGUUCCUCCGCCGUUCUAUCCUGAUCCAACGGCCACGAAUCGCCCUCGUAAGCUUUAUCUAUCCUCUUAUCUUUCGGUCCUUGGUAAAUUACGAUAUUAGUCCCUGUACUUUGGUCAUUUUAAACUUUGGCACACUUCUUAAUUUUUUAAUACAAAUUAUUCCCGAAUUAUUGAAAAUCCGAAUUAAACGGUCGUUUACGAAUUUUUUUCAAGAAAAAAAAAUUAUUCACAAAUUUUUAGGCCAGUCGAAUAAUUUGCCAAUUAUUGAAAAUCUAAAUAAAAACUUAUAAUUUUUAUGUUUAAUUAUAGAUUAUUUUAUAUUUUAUACGGAAUCCGUUUUUUAAGCCGAAAUUUUCAACGAAUUUGAAAAUUAGAAAACAAAUUUUAUCUAUAUUAUACCCGUACCGAAUUUUUGCCUAAUCCGAAAUAACUAACUAUUGCCGUAAUUGAUCCUCCUUUUAUAGUUAUAAAUAUAGUAGUUGAAUACAAAUACAUUAAUCAAUUACUGACUUUAAAUCUAUAUAUAGUUAUAACUGUAGUAUAAUUAUAACUGAAUGUAACCNUUUGGUUACAUUCAGUUAUAAUUAUACUACAGUUAUAACUAACUAUUGCCGUAAUUGAUCCUCCUUAUAUAGUUACAAAUAUAGUAGUUGAAUACAAAUACAUUAAUCAAUUACUGACUUUAAAUCUAUAUAUAGUUAUAACUGUAGUAUAAUUAUAACUGAAUGUAACCAAACAACUCCUAAAUUUUAUAAUUUUUUUACUAAAAAUAAUAACUUUACAGGAGAAGAUCAGGAUUCAGGAUGCCAAAUAUAUAACUUAAGGCAGUGAGGACCAAACAAAAAUUUACUAAACAUGUAGGGUUAAUCGUGCAAUUUACCCCUUCUUAUCCCGUUUGGUUAAGCUCAACCGAGCAAAACCGUAGCUUCCCGUGGACGCCAAGGGCAUUUUCGUAAAUCCACAUUAUUUUUUUUUGUUUACUAGGACAGGAGGAAUCUUUACCAAAAGCCCCCUCGUCACGAAAUAAAUCAUUUCAAAACACUGGAGAGAGAAAAAGAGAGGUACAUAAAAUGUACGGAGACCCCCUCAACUAUAUUCGUUUCUGAAGUAGCAUCAUCAACUUUAAAUUUUUUUUUAAUUAGGACCACUGAAGUUUAAAUUCGGUAAAAUCAAGAAAAAAAUUUAGUACAAUUUCUAAUUUUUAAAAAAAUCAAAAUAAGUUAGUUAUAUAUAAUUAGAAGUUGAGGGGUCUUAGUGAAAAGAAUUAUAGUGGAGACGGAGGUUUUAGAAUAACUGUAUAGUUGAGGGGGGUCUCGAUACAUUUUCACAAAGCGAAUAAGAGGGGGCGACUCCCCUCUCUCUCUCUCUACCAUUUCCCCUCUCUCUCUCUCUCCUUUCUCUCUCUCCUUUCUCUCUCUCUAUCCUCUCUCUCUAUAUCUUCGUCGGCGACUAGGGUUUGCUCCGAAGCCCCUCCGCGGCGCGAUCGGAUCCGGCCGAUCAAUCGAUCGCGUUCCUGCUCCUCCGCCAAUGCGACGGGAUCUCGCGUGAUCUGGGGGAGGAAUCGAUCGCGAAAUCCGGAGAAUCCGCCAUGGCGUACCAGGGGAAGAAGCUCGUCAACGAUCCCAAUGGUCUCCUCUCGCCUUUUCUCUGAUUUUUCGUAUGUUUUGAGCCCGAUUUGCGGGGGGUUUGUGGUUCUUGAUCGUGUUCGACCAUAGUGUGGUCGGUCUUGGGGUGUUUCUUACUUCGUUUCGGCGAUCUCGAUGCGUGUUUUACUCUUUCAUUAUUUUUGGUUUUUUUUUUUUUGUUUAUUUCUCAUCUGAGAUUUGAUUACUGGUUUUCUUGAUCGAGUAUGUUGGUUGCUGCGUAUCUGUUGAUGCAAUGCUGAGUUAAAUUGGUGUAGGAGUAGAGAAAUGGCGUUGCGCCGAUGAGUAUUUCCAGUUCUUUUGCUUCAUUUCGGCUCAGAUUUUGUGUUCUUUAUUUAUUUAUUUAGUUAUUCGUUUCUGUGAGAUUUGAUUAGUGUGCUUCUUGAUCGAGUAUCUUGCUUGCUGCGUAUCUAUUCAUGGAAUGCGAGUUAAAUUCGUACUGGAGGAAAAAUAUGGUGUUAUGCUGAUGGGAAUUUCUGUUUUUUCAGCGAAUUUCUUGAUUUUUUUUUUCGGUGUUCUUAAGUUAUUUAAUGUGCUUCUUGGUUCUUUCUAUAUAUGUCAGCUCUUGUUGUGCGUAUUUUAUGAAGAUUUUGGAUUAUUUUUAGUUUAUUUAUUAUUUUUUUUUUUUUGCACCGGAUUUGAUUUCUGGGUCAAGUACCUUGGCUGCUGCAUAUCUGUUGAUGCAAUGCUGAGUUUAAUUCAUAGCGGAGUAGAGAUAUGGUGUUAUGCUGAUGAGAAUUCCCGGUUUGUCCAGUGUUCUUGCUAUAUGCAAUUUGAUGUGAGAUUCGUUGGGAGAUGUGGUUUUGGUUCGUUUGCUUCAUUUCCUCGCUUUUUAUCUUGUUUUAUGGAGAUUUUCGAUUCUUUAUUUGUCUAAUUUUUAAUUUUUUUUAUUUUUUGUGUGAGAUUUGAUACUGUGUUUCCUGAUCAAGUAUCUUACCUGCUGCAUAUCUGUUGAUGCACUGCUGAAUUAAUUUCGUAUCGUAUUGGAGAUAUAGUACCUCACUGAUGAGCAUUUCUGGCUUUUUUGGCGUACUUUUUAUCAUGCAAUGUGCAGUGAGAUUCACUUAAUAUUUUUGCAUGCAGAUGUCGUGACUGAGUUCAUUGAGGGCUUGGUGGAGACGUACCCUGGUUUGCAGUACUUGGAUGGCUUUCCGCUGGUAAUAUUAAUGACCAAUAAUUGCCUUUUCUGAGCGAUUUGGCCACUUUUGCUUUUGGAGUCUUGAUCGCAACGUAUCAUUUGGUGUGAUGGAUUGCAGAUUAAGGUUGUCUUGCGUGCUGACGUGUCGGCCAGGACCUACGACAAGGUUGCGGUCAUAUCAGGUGACGACAUCGCAAUUAUGCUUUCAGUUCUUGUUGUGAUCCCAUUUAGAACAGUUGGCAUAGGUGGUCAAUUAAUAGGGCUUUCGAUGUAUGUAGAUACUGAUGAAAUGUAAAAAAUGGUAUGAUGUUACAUACAUUGUGCACGCUUACUCCUGUCUGUGUGAAUAUGCACAUAGAUUCGCCUGCCUAUCGGCACCGCAUGUCCGCCCCCAUGUAGUACACAAUUUUGUUUUGGAAACACGAUAAGUGCACAUGCAGGUCUCGAUGCAUGUGUGCACACAAACAUGCAUGCAUUUGUAUGCACACUACGUGUGCAUGCGUGUGUAUGCACAGUACGUGUGCAUGCUUGUGCGUACUUACGACGUAUAUAUUUUCAUUUAAGGAAAUCAGUAUCAGAUUAGGCUAAAUGGGAUUUCGUAAAUACCACUCCCUACUGGAAAUUUUGGCCCUAUUGACUCGCACCCUAUUGUGUGAUGCAACUCCUUGCAACGUUAUCAGGAUUUUAUAUCUUUCCGUAAGGAGUAAGUGAGAAAAAGAAGUUGCCGAAAGUGCUAUAUCAUUUGGAAGAAAACAACUGGGGCGACAUAUGAAAGAUAUAUAUUGACUGGUAUUAUAUUGGACACUUUAGUAGGUUUAGGAUUUUCACAAGCUAUGAACCCCAAUUUAAACCUACAUGCUAUUCAUACAUGAUUUUCUUUUGACAUGUUGCCUUAUUUGUCCUUCAGACAUUGAACUUGUCCUUUGGCCUAGUUCUUCUGUAGUGGUUUUGAGCGGUUAUCUGGACGACCAACUAGACAAUCUGAGCCAACAUCGACCAGGCGAUGCGUUACUUAGACCAGUUGAACCAUGGGAUAGCCACGUGACUCGGCAACCAAUUUGUGCCAAGAUGGCUACUGGAUGCAAAUAAACAAGAUUAAUCAUAUAGUUUGCUUAAUUAUGAGUAGGCGAUCACGGUUUGCAUACAUAUUGUAGUGAUAUUUCCUCUAAUUAAAUUGCCUUUUCAGGCUUGUUAUAGUUAUCUAUAGAUGGACUUUCAAGUGUUUAUGUUUCUAUGAUGUUUCCUAUGGACUUUGAACCCAUUUGCCAUAGUCAAAUAAAUGUGUGCUCUAAUUUAAGAAUUGGGAGUUGAUGUUUAUCUGAUUGUGGCAUGUUCAUGUGAUUUAAUUGAAGUAGAAGAUAAGAAAGGUCUUUUUUACCCUCAUACAAGUGUCAUUGCUCAAGCGUUCAAGCCUAGGCUUUGUAAUCGAUGUCUGACCCCGAUGUCCUGCCUUUUAAUAUGUAGAAUGGAUUGUUACCCAUGGACACCAAAGACAUCUACUAAUAUAUUGGUAAUAUCAACUUUUUCUGUCUUUAAUUCUUUUCAAAAUGGUGCUGUACUGGAGAAGGCAUCGUCUGUAUUAUCUCAACUUUGAUAUACUGUAGAUUAAGCCCCAUUGACCCAAACCAAAAUUCUCUUUUUGUGUUUAACUCUCUGAAGUUGAUCAAUGUGUGGAUCAGUAUUUGGGUGCUCCCAUAAGACCUAUGUUUAAUCUUCAUUUCCAAAUGGUCCUUUACUCUGGCCUUUUCCAGGCUGAACAGUGACAACUGACAACCACCUGAUCCAUAUGAACUCUCUUUAUGUCGAGCAAUCUUUUGUACAAGUAGGCUAACUUUUGAUGAAAGUUACACAGAAUUAGAGGAUUAGAGUUGAAUCAAUCAGAAAUUUCUGAUACCCUUAGAUUAGAAAAUAACGCCAGUUAGUGUCUUAGUUUUCCAAUUCUCAGUUGGUUGAUGCUAGCCUAUGGUAACUUAUUAACUAGUCUCACUUUCUUCCCUUCUGCUUUUAUUUUCCUUUUUUUUGUGGUAGUCGUACUUGUUUUAACUGUGCAUUCUUCUAUGUAGGAGGUGGAAGUGGUCAUGAGCCUGCUCAUACUGGAUUUGUUGGGCCAGGGAUGUUGACAGCAGCCGUCUCCGGAGAUAUUUUCACAUCUCCACCUGUUGAUUCUAUUUUAGCUGUAUGGUUCAUUUGGUACUCCUUUUUCAGUUCAAUUAUUUGUUACUUGUGCUGACACCACUUAGCAUUUUAGGCUAUUCGAGCUGUAACAGGUCCUAAAGGAUGCCUUCUGAUUGUCACGGUACUAUGUUAUCCUUUAUUUAUGCUAGUCAAAUCUGACUCUUUCAAUGUGCUUUUUUUUGGGGGGGGUGGGGGAGGCAGGAGGGGUGAGGGGGGGUGAACCUUUUACGUAACUCUUGUUUUGGUGCCCUUACAAUGUUCACGGAAUAGUUGAAAAUGCUAUUUUGUUUAAUUAUUCUUUAAAUGCAAGAAAAAUAUUGAUAAGUCAUCAUCUGAUUAUAUCUUUCUUUAUAGCUUCUGCUUGCUAGCUUAUGUAAGUUCUUUUCUUUCUCACAAGGUUUGAUUUUGAAUGUUAACAGAACUACACUGGUGAUCGGCUCAAUUUUGGUUUGGCAGCUGAGCAAGCAAAAUCUGAAGGCUAUGAUGUGGAGGUAUUUACUAUCUAUCUGGUGUCUUGAUCAAAAGUAAAUACUCAUUAAAAUAAUGUUGUUAGGUUUUGUAAUGUUUUGAUUCCUGCAGAUGGUUAUUGUGGGGGAUGACUGUGCUCUGCCGCCACCGCGUGGCAUAGCUGGGAGAAGAGGUCUGGCUGGAACUGUACUUGUUAACAAGGUACAUAUUCUUGGUGCUUAUAAUUAACAUACGAGCAAAGCCUAUUUCAGUUGCUGUAGGUUGGAAACAUGAAGAACUCUUUUCUUUGGUAAAAUGUACUGACCUUACCUGAACAACAGAACAUUUCAAAAUGACUAUCUGAACUUUAAAUUUUGCUUUUACUACCUAAUCAUGCAAUAUUUUUUAUUGAACUGCCUAACCAUAAACAUGUGAUAACAUUUUGAAAAUUUUUGACAGAAUAUUAUGUAAUGUAAUUGGAAGUUUCCGUUACUUGACUAAUAUUCUAUGACUUUUUGGGCGGAAUCUGUUAUGAUCUAACUGAACUUGAAAGGAUUUUUCUAUAAUCAUACAGAAUGAAAUGUGAGGCAGUACAGUCAAAUCUUUAAGUGCUCUGUAGCCAUUUCAGAUGCAUUACAGUUCAGAUAAGGCUGUAUGCUUUACCGUUUCUGUGCAAUCUGUUGCCAAUUACGUGUUGAAAUGUUCAAAGCCAUAUUCAUACAUUUUGUACGUGAUUUUAAAGCAUGAUAUGCGGAUCCUUUUGUUUGUCUCUUAUUUUGUAUCUGCUUUAAUUGGUAGGUUGCUGGUGCUGCUGCUGACGCUGGCUUAUCACUUGCUGAUGUUGCUGCAGAAGCAAAGCAUGCAUCCGAAAUGGUGGGAACAAUGGGUGUUGCUUUGUCAGUGUGCACACUGCCUGGCCAGGUUACUUCGGAUCGUCUAGGUCCAGGACUGAUGGAGCUUGGUCUUGGAAUCGUAAGUUACUACAUGAUUUUAGAUGUUGCUAAUUGCAUUAAUUGGACACUGGUUCUACUCUUCAUCUAGGUUAUGUUGUAUUAGUUACUUGUAAGCCUCUUUUUAUCAGUUGCUGCUUCUUAUUUGGAAUGCAUCUUAAUGAGCCUUACAUUUAUUUGCACAAAUAAGGUUUAAGAAAAGUAAUUGGCCUUUUCAGCAUGGGGAACCAGGCGCUGCUGUUGUUGAGCUCCAACCUGUUGAUGUAAUUGUAUCUCAUGUUCUCAAGCAGAUAUUGUCACAGGUAUAAGUCCUGGGCUUUGAUGUUUCAUAAGUUCUUUUGAUGUUGCUUUAAUUGGUACUGUUUUAGUUUAUCAACUGGAUGAUAAAUAAUAAAUUAAGACAUGAACCUAUAUAUGCAUGCAAGUGAGCUUUAUUUUUUCCUUUUCAUGCUAGUUAUGUUUCUUCAAUUUUCUGCUGAUUUUUUUAUUUAUUAAUUUUUUUUAUAACUUGAUGUAAGGUAUUAACCUGAGAAACUGUAACUAUUUUGUCUUUCCUGUGGGAUUUUUGUCAAUGCGACAAAAAAAUACAAUGACAGAUUUGUCCUCUUACAAUAUAUGGUAAGAGUUGUCUUUGCCUUAAAUAACAAGUUUAAACUUGCCGAAAUUGCUAUGCAUUACAUAUAGCAGGAUCAUAUAACAGUACCUCUCUGUCUUUUUAUUACAUAUCAAACAAGGUACGAGCUAAAUCAGCAUAUCACUAUGUUGAAAGCAGCUAAAUAGUGUCUGAAGGUGACUUUGCAUGGUUGCUUCUACAUUGUAGUGUGUAGCCUCUAAAAUUUACGUGUUACCUUGUUAGCGUAAAAUUACAUGAUUUUGACUUAUGCAAGCAAUGCACAGGGAAAAAGAACAAAGAAGAAUCAAUAACCUUUAUAUUUGUUGUUUUAUCAAGAACAGGGUCUGAAUGUUCUUUAGAUAAUUCUGCAUUACCAACUCCAUUUAGUGAAAUUGCCAUUUCAUUAUUGGCCUUCUGAAUGUUCUUUUUAUCAAGAACUGGGUUAUUUUACCAAGUGAAAUUUAUUUCAACUUUCCGAAUUCAAGGUAACUAGCAUUUUCCAAUCAUAGUUGGACUAUGUUGUCAUGGGGAAGCAAGUGGUACAAGUGGUAUGUGACUUCAAGAUGUGAUUAACCUCUAUAUAUAUAUGCAGAUGAUUUUGUGGAAAAACCAGUAGAUGCACUUUACUAUGUUAUAAUAUUUGUGUUAUUUGUAACUUGUCCUUGUAUAUGUAUGUCCUUGUUUCGUUCUGAAAUGGUUUCAACUGCUUGCAGGAAACUCAGUAUGUUCCUAUUACAAGAGGAAGCAGAGUGGUUCUCAUGAUUAACGGGUAAAUACUGUUUCCUAGUUUUUCCUGUUUUGCAAUUUGAUUUAACUUUGCAAGUUGAAGAUUGUUAAUUUAUUUUGAUGAGAAGGAAAUCUAUAUCCGCUGUCAAGAUUUUGCUCUUUCAAUAACGAGCUUGCUUGUGCCAAUUAAAAUAUAUGUAAAUUAGGGUGAAGAGUAGUUUUGCAGAGGAUUGAUUGGCAAGUUAUUAUAACAGCCUAGGGGCCUGUUUGGAUGCAUAAUUAUUUUGUUCAGGAAAACUCUUUUCAUAUGCUUUAACUGACAUGUGGUGAUUGGUCAAUAGGAACCAUGGGAAGAUGUCUAUAACUACACACUAUAUAUGGCCUCAACUGCAGUUUUCUCAUGAUAUGAUGAAUCACCUUGUAGGUGAACAUACUAUCCUCAGAAGUUGGAAUUAUUAUGUUUCAUAAUAGCUGAAAGUCAACCAAAUUGGUACUGUUCUAGCCAAGCAUGGGUUCUUUUGGCAAUAUUUUGAGGGUUUGCUACUUAAUUUCAAUAUAUGUAGUCUUGAAAGCUAAGAUGAAUAGUGCUUUAAAUAGCUACCGCUAUGCCCGCCAUAGCAGCUGAUAUAACAGAUUUUAUGUGCUACCGCUAUGCCAUAAUUUCUAAAGUGGAAUUUAGUGGAUCGGGUUCAUAGCGUCCGCUUUAACAGCAUAGGGUCCCCGUUAAAGCGGCCGCUAUAAAGCAGUUAGAAAGUGGGCGCUAUGAGCCCAAAGCUUAAAAAAUUGCAAACGGGUUAAAACAUUUAAUCGGGUCGGGCUCUCAAGUGGAUGACCAUAAUACCUCUAGUGAAGGAGGAGAAGAAUGUCUUCCCGAUGAAUAAGAUUUUAAUCAUUUACCUAAGAUAUCCUUUUUGACAUCCAUUUACAAAUUAUUUAGACUGUUAAUGGAUUAUAGAUUUUCUAGUUUUAAGUCUUUUUGGUUUGCUAAAUCAUAAUAUUUUAAAGUUUAUCUUAAUAGAUAAUGACAUUAAAUAUGUAUAGGUUUGCAAUACUAAAACAAGGAAUGAUUAGGUGUCUUUUCUUCAAAGUUGUCUUUUCUCCAAAAUUAUAUGCAUUUUUUAUAAGGAACAUAAACAUAGUAAGUUUAUUUUUAUGAAACCCGCUAUUGGGUUCAUAGCGCCCGCUAUCCGCUUUUCGGUAUGAGACCCUUCAAAAGCUAUGUGCCUGCUAUUUACAACCUUGGAGAUGAAUCAGAAAUGUGCUAUAGAUUGAUUGUCAGCGCACUAAACCGUCAGAAAUGUGGUUAUGUCAUCAAAUUUAGGCAAGGCAUGCCCAAAACAAGGUUGAUUUGGCAGGGCUAGGAUGGAUGUUAUAAAGUGUAAUAUUAAUGUCACAUCAGUGUAGUGAUUAAUGCUUUCCCAGUUCUCCCUGAAGUUUAUUUGCUACAGUAUCUUUUUCACUACCUAUUAGUUAAUAUUUAAUAAUGGAAUAUCAUUAUUAAUGUUAGAAACAAAAAGCAAUGAGCAUGUUGAAAGAACAUUUGUGCUAACUUGUCUUUAUUGUCACGUUAAACAGAUUGGGUUCUACUCCGCUGAUGGAGCUAAUGAUUGCAGCCAGAAAGGCAAUUCCUGAGCUGCAGCUGGAACAUGGAGUUGCUGUUGACAGAGUUUACACCGGCACAUUUAUGACCUCACUUGAUAUGGCUGGUCAGUUCACUCAAGAAGCUUUUGGCGUACUUAAAAAACCUCUUUUUACUAAUUGGAUAAUGAAAUUGCUUUGGUAUAGGAUUUUCUAUAUCUAUUAUGAAGUCAGACGAGGAUAUUUUGCAGCGUCUAGAUGCCCCAACCAAGGCUCCAUAUUGGCCUGUUGGUGUCGAAGGUAAUGAAGCAAUCUAACUAAAUUAUCAAGUUCGAUAAGCUGCGAUAAAAUAUGUUCCACUAAGUCCAUCUACUUGUAACACACCUAAAAUUGCUGAAUUGUUGUUGAUAUCUUGCUAUAUCUUGCUGUUAGGUAUAACAUACAUAUAGUAUACAGGAUGAGCUUCUCUAGACAAGAAAAUACAAAAUGUUUAUAUGAGAUAAUUGGUUAUUUAAUGCUUUCAAGAUCGGGGUUGGCUGAUGAAGUAUAGAAUGCUUUGUAUUGUAGAUCGGUUCUCGGACCUUAGGAUUUUUCUCUGAAUUCCUUGUAACAUUAAACUGAUGAAUUUUGUAAAUAACCUUCUUUUUUUUUAAACGACUCUUGAGGCUCUUUCUCACGUAUAUUAACUUUUACAUGGAGCAAUUUAUAGACAUGCCAAAAAUUUUAUACACUUUUGUAAUAUUUCUUCGGGUUUAAGAAUUUUUUUUCAAGAUGUGAUUAAUAUUUCAUUUAUUUUUUCUUGAACAUCUAGUUGUUCGUUGCCCUUUUUUUUUAAAACCACAUUAAUUGCAAGAAUUCUUUUAAUCUAUAUAGGGCCAUAUGUACUUUUAUCAUCUUGUUGAAGUAAUUAAUGCACUUGGUUAGUGUAUCUUUCUUGCUGAAGUAAUUAAUAUUUUAAUUUUUCUGUUUGGCAUACUAUGAUGUUGAUUUUUUAUAUAAGUAUGAUCUUUGCAUAUAAACCUUUUCAUGGAGAGAUGCGACUAUAAGUGGAUAAUAGUAUAGACAUCCUCAAACGACAACAGCUGUCCCAAGUAGUACAAAUUUUCUUUGUUUGGUAGGUUGUUGCGUUGACUAAUGGUAUUAUGGUAUACAUCACUGACUUGUAGGAGAUCGCCCACCUGCAAAAAUUCCUGUUCCAGUUCCUGCAUCUGGUUCCACAAGGAGUGAUGAGGUGAAAAAAAAAAAAAUACUUUAUUUGGUUUUGUUUUAUUUUAUUAUGAAAGGUCAGCAUUAUUCUUCUUAGAAAAGUACAUAAUUUCAGUAGUAUAAUAUGUCUAUGUUCAUAAAACUAUGUUAGCAGUCAACGCUGUGAAUGUGCGCACUUCUUCUGAUAUCUGAGUUUCCGAACUCAUCAUAUAAAAGUAAUGUGGGUCUUUUUGGUUAUAUUACAAUUGCUAGUUGUGAGAAGAUAAUGCCUAGUUUUCUUGAAGAGAAUAAAAUUGACUCUGUACAUAAUCGCUAAAUGCUGUCAUUAACCAGGAUUGCUAUCUUGUUCCUUCUUUUUUGGUCUAGAACUUCAUUGCCUCUAUUAUAAUUAUGUGUGAAAUGCAACUGCAAAUAAAAUUUGACUCUGUACAUAAAUUGCUAAAUGCUGUCAUUAACCAGGAUUGCUAUCUUGUUCCUUCUUUUUUGACCUAGAACCUCAUCCUCUAUUAUAAUUAUGUGUGAAAUGCAACUGCAUGUUUUUGUUGGCCUCUAAACUAAUAAUUUAUUACAUUCUUUUUCUGGGGCUAUAUUUCUCAGGCUUUAAGAUAUACGUAAUGUAUAAGAUAACCCUUAUCUUCUUUUCAGAUAUAUUUUUUAUUUGCUUCAUACAUUUUAUCCUGUGGCAGAUGCUUAGCAAACCCCAAGAGCUAACCCAACAAGGCAUUAUUCUCGAGGCUGCUGUCGAAGCUGCUGCUAAGGAGAUUAUCGCUCUUAAGGACAGCCUAAACGAAUGGGAUGGUAAAGUGGGCGAUGGUGACUGUGGAACUACUGUGAGUCCUCAUUUAGGCCAUAUUGCCUGUUUUAUUUGUAUUUUUUUUUCUAAUGGUUCAUGACAGAAAUUUCUCUUCAGAUGUAUAGAGGUGCAGUGGCUGUGCUGGACGACAUGAGAAAGCGGUACAGUUUUUUUUUUUUUUUUUUUUUUUUUUUUUUUUUUUUUUGGGCUGGUGGGAAAAAUCUGCCAGACCCCUAUUAACAUUUGCUCAGUUGCAAUGUGGGACCUGGACUUCACAAGUUACACAUGAACUUUAUGAUUGUUUCAGUCAACCAUCUGGCCGAAUUCUUUAAUCUUCAAUCAAAUGGAACCCAAGUGAUUUAAUGCCUCUAUUCUUUUGAAUGCUUGGAUAUCUUUACGGGUGUUUUAGUACUAUGCCUGAUUGAAGAUCGUAAAGAAAAAUUAACUGAAUUCAGGGCUAGGUGUGGUUGAUUGAGGAAAGUACGAAGGUUCAUAUAUUUAUUUUAACAUUUUGAAGUUUGGAUAGUCAUAUGCAACAAUACUUAUGUUUAGCAGGGUCUGGCAUUUUUUUUCUCUUUUUUUGGUAGAAUUUAUAGAGGCCUUUGAGGAAACAUUGUGGGGAAAUUUAUUGUCCUUCUAGAUUGCCAUUUAGAAUUUGCUUUGUCUGUAUAUAAAUCUAUCGUUAAUGAGACAAAACUAGAUAAGUUCUUUAGUCAUUUAGACUGACAAAAUGAGACAAAUCUUAGAUAAAUUGCAUUAGUCACUUAGGGUAACAAUUUUAUGGACUCUAAUUAGAAUUUUCUGCUUUACACAGCUACCCCAUGAAUGAUGCUGCUGAGACAGUGAAUGAAAUCGGGGCCACUAUCCGUAGGGUGAUGGGCGGAACAAGUGGCAUCUUGUACAGUACCCAUCUUAUCUUCCUUUUAAUAUUAUUAUUAACAUUAAAUUAAGGCCUCGUUUGUUAUUGUUGCCCGCUUUUUAUUUUUUUAAACACUGUAUAAUUUGAUAUGGCGGCAGAAGAACUUUUCUCUUGUUGUCAUGGUUGAUUAGCUUGCAAGGCACCUUGGCUAAGUGAUGGAUGAUAAUUUCUUUACAACGCACAAACAGAAAGUUGUUUCCAAGUUUUUAGUUUUUGUUGCCAAACAAACAACUUACAUAUAAGGAUUACAAGCAAUCCACCAUUCUGUUCUUCACUAUUUUGUACAGAAAUUCUAUUUUUAAAAAAAGGGCCACUAUGCCAAACAAGGCCUUGGUUUAUAUAAGGCCUUAGUUUAUAUAUUUAGGAUUUCAGCUAUCUUCUAUUGGAACUAUCAAACUUGGAGACCUAUAUAUUGAAAAACAUUAACAUGUGUCCCUUAAGUGUUGUGUAUACAUGUGCAAAUCCCUGCAAAAUCUUAAUCUUCAUGUGCCCUUCAAUUUAUUUUCUUAGAUAUAAUACUGUUGUACUUGCAAAAAUGUUCCUUGUAAAGAAAGCUUUUAUGAAUCCAAAAACAACUUUGUCCCUGUGAAUUGGCGUUGACUUCUAAUUUGAGUUGAAAAUAUUUUCAUACCACACUUUCAAGAAGCAUAAAUUGAAAUUCGCAUUUUAUAGUUGAUACCUAUGUAAGUAGAUGAUUUUAAAAUGUAUGUGUGAAAGACUAAAUGCCCUAAAAUGUAUUUUUCAAUUUGCUGAUGGACAGGUAUGACAUAUUCUGCAAGGCAGCAUAUGCUAGCUUAAAGGGAAGCUCAAAAAUUACGGCAAAACAAUGUAACCACUGUUGUUAUAUUUAUACACACCAAAUCAGUAGAUCUUGUCCCUAUGUUAUGACAUUUAGAAAUAUGCCUCCUUUCUGUUCUUAGGGUCUAAUGCGCUAGAAGCAUCCAUCGCUGCUGUUAGCAAGUAUGGUCGUGCCAGUGCGGGCUAUCGCACAAUGUUGGAUGCUCUCAUUCCCGCAUCGAAUGUUCUAAAAGAGGCAAGAAAAUAUUUUUUCUUUUUCUACUUCUCUAUUUUCUUUUUCUCUAAAGAGAAGUAUCGUAGAUAUGUAAGACUAACGUGUCAUUAAAUAUUCUUCAUGAGCAGAGGCUGGAUGCUGGUGAUGACCCUGUGACGGCUUUUCUACUGUCGUCUGAGGCCGCUGUGAAUGGUGCUGAGUCUACUAAAAACAUGCAUGCACAAGUAAUUUCCUUUUUUCUCUCCCUUUAAAUUCAUUUUGCAUUCGCAAAUAAUGGUGAAACUUGAAAGAUCAUAGUAAUAAUGGGUAAAAUAUUUAACUUUUAUGCACCAUAACAAUGUAAUCUAUUUAGUUUUGUGGGCAUCAGUGGUUUACUGCACGCUAUGAUCGUUGACUAUCUGUUUUGCUGUACGAUCAUCUGUUUUAUUGGUGCAGCAUCAAUGCGUCACACAUAAUUUACAUUUAUACACCCAGUUUAGCUGCUUGGAGCCUGGUUUGGCUUCUGGGGGGGUUUGAUAAGCACGUUCUCCUAGCUUUUGAAACUGCUUCUCCCUACGAGAAGUGAAAGCCUAGAGCUUUCGGCUAGAGCGAGAAGUAAAAUGAGCUUCUUCAUCCCAAAAGCUGCUCUAUUUUUGAGCUUCCGCUUUUAGCUAAGGUGGAAAGCUGGUGGUGGGAAUCUGAUAGAGCUGUCGGGGUUUCCUCCAACAUUUCUAUUAAAGUAGCACUCAUAUGGAAGCUUGCUAUAUUUUACAUAUUCAAAUACAAAUAUAGCUGUCACAUAAACUGACGGAUGACGAGAUGUAUGUUCAGGCCGGUCGAUCCUCGUACAUUGCUCCAGAUCUACUUUCUUCAGUUCCGGACCCGGGCGCGAUGGCCGUGGCUGCAUGGUACAAAGCUGCGGCCCUUGCGGUGAAGGCUCAGCUGCGACCUUAGCGAAGCUAACCACACCGUUGCAGACUCUCUCUGCAGGAUGAAACAUACAUACCAAACAAAAGCAAUUUCUUUACAAUUUUUUCCUUUUUCUUUUUUUUUUUCUUUCUUACCCUGUUCCAUUAACAACUUUCGCUUUCCGCUAGUGUUCCGCAUGAGCUGAGAAAGCCCUGAGUCUUUUACCUUAUUGGACUGCCAGUUACCUAGUUUUAAACACCGUAUACAAAAAAAAGAGACUGUAAGAGAGGGAACCUAUCGUGACAAUAAGUGUCGAACUAUAUAGAAAAGAACUGUUAGUUUGCUGCUGCUGCCGCCGUUACUGUGCUUGUUUUGUUAAGCAUUUUGAUUUGUUCGGAAUUAAAUGUUGCAGCUCAAAUUUAAUGAUUGCUUUAUGUUUCCCUCAGUGGUGCUCAUUAAGCUAUUUGAUUAUGGUGCAUUAGAUCAUUGCUAAUUGCUGCUUACAAGUUGUGGAAUAUCAUAUCAAGAAAAAAAUAUUUUGUUCUAUUCUUAGAAUAUCAGAUUGAUUAGAGAUCAGAAUAAAUAUUCAAUCGACUUGAUGUCAGUAGAAGUGUACAGAAUAAAUUGUCGUCGACAAGCUGCUUGGCUUUUGUUCAGAGAAAAUGAGUUUCAGGCAUCUUGCUUCUCAGUCAUUAUGUAUAAGAUAUAUUCCUCAGCUGUUAAAGUUAGUUUAUAGCCUGUUUGUUUUUUGAAUUCCGGAGGAGGUUGGAUUUAUUUCAGCACUGAAGUUGCGAGACCAUCCGAAUUUUCACAGACAAUUUUAUUUCAUCAUUGAAGUCGUGAGUUCAUCAUACCGGCAAUUGUAUGAGAAUUGAGCUGACAGUAGUGUGAAAAUGGACCGUUUUAUUUCGGUGGAGCUGGAGGGUGAAGGCCGAGUCUGGGAAGCUGAUGAGUUCUCGCUACCCGACUAUUCACAGUCUCUAUAUAGCAAGGGAUCUGCAGGUCAAAACAAAUAAAUAAAUAAGAAAAAGAAGAAAAAAAAAAGAAAAGCGGUCUCGGACUGCUGCACUGAAGAACUUCCCUUCGAAGUAAGUAAACGGGUGUUGUUUCCCGCCAAAGAGGGAGAGAGAGGGAGCGACAGAGAGAGAGAGAGAGCCAGCGCCAGCGCCAGCGGCGGCAUCGUGCGAUGGCGAAGGUGGAACUCUGGNCAAAGUCGCUGCAGCUCGGCCCCGUCGUCAAGUACACCGCCCUCGCCUUCUUCGCCCACCGCUUCCUCCCCAGGUCUUAUCCCCAAUUCCCUCUCCUCCCUUUCCCUUUUCCCUCCCCCUCCUCUUCUUAUUAACUCUGUUUUCUCUUCCUUAUUAUAGCCUGAUCGAAGACGACGGUGCGAAUGCGCGGAGCUGCUGGCUCCUGCGCCCUCUCAGGGAGAGCAACCUCCAGCUCUUCGCCCUCAUCUCCAUCUGGAUCUCCACCAAAGUAAUCCGUCCCAAUUCUUUUCUUUUCUUUUUUUUUUUUUCUUUUCCUUUUUUUUUUGGGGAAUUAAUCGGUGGGAAUCUUUACUGAAAUAAAUUCUUGCGGGCGGCGGCGGUGGCGGCGGCAGCUCCACGACUCCCGGCCGCUGUCCGUGAAGAGCCUGAAGGCGUUGGGCGACAGCCUCAUCGCCGAUCAGCAUUUCACUUCCCGAGAUUUCGCCGACGCCGUAAUGUUCUAAGCUUCAUAUUGUUUUUCAUUUCUUCUUUUCCCCUUCCUUUUCCUUCUACUCUGAUCUAAAUUUCCUUGUUCGUUACGCGCAGGAACUCGUCUUUAUGGAGGUACCAGUAUACGUAUGCGUGUAUCAAUCUCGUCUUUCGAGCUGCGAAUCCCAACUGAAUGCCGCCGCCGCUUGCGAUUUCAGGUACUAGGGUACGAUAUCGGAGCGUCGAACAUCGCUUUCGUGCACCUGGAGGAUCUUCUUGUCCAAUUCAGGUGCCCUCCGUGUUGUCGGUUCCAAAUCAAAAUUUCCAGCAUUGGCGAAUUCUAGUUUGUUUUCUGAGCACAGGCGCUGCCGUUUCUCGCCAGGGAAUUGUCGAAGCUCGGGGAACUCGUGGCCUUAGAUGUGUGCAUGGAGAUCAUGGAUCUUCUUUACGAGACCGAAGAUGCCUCACUCCUUUUCCGCGCUCCCUACGCGCUCGCGGCGUCGACUCUCGUAUGUUCAGCAAUAAAACUAUCGCAAUUCGCAGUUCUACUUAUUCGGCUCGUUUGUUUCUUCUGAUCAGGUUACUGCGUACGUCAUCUCGGUCCCUAAGCAGCGAUGGGAGUUUCCGCUUCUUCCUUGGGGUAAUUUUCUGAAUCAAUCUCAUCGGUGUUGCGCUUUUUUUUGCGCCUAUCGAUUUUCCUGUACUUGCAUUUAUGUAUGCACACAUAAAACACAUAUAUUUCCUUCUAUUGUGUUGUUGGUUUGUCGCCGAUCCAGGUGUAAUAACUCUGUAUUGCGAGGGUUUAUCAUGUGUCGCCGAGAGGUUUUGUAGGUUGUAUAUCUCAAUUUGACCUACUCUACCAAGCCUUAGAUCUUCCAGUUGUUAUUCUCAUUCGUGGAUUCGUAACAAAUAGAACCGUAAGGAGGUUCUGCAAUGGAUUGCGCUUCCAAGUUUACACAUUUUUCGUGGGAUGAUGAUCGUCUGAAAGUGUUAGUCCGAGCUGACGAGCAUGUCACUAGUGGCGAGGGGGUUAUUGUGAGCAAGGAUUUAAGUGCCGUAGUACGGGAUCGUGCCGAAAAAUUGUCGGUAAAGGCACAACAUAGUGUGUGCAAAACAGUGUCGAUGCGUGCCGGUCACAAAAAGUACAUGUGUGCCGGCACAUAAUGACAUGAAAUAUUUAUUUUCUUAAGCAACAAAAUAUUCUAAUUAUUUAUUAUGUAUUUUUAUCAAAUAUUUUGAACUUCAUUGAGGAAAUUACUUAUAAAUUUAAAAAAAAGAGGAUUUUGAGCUGUGCCAUCGGUACAGGGACUGUAUCGUGCUGAUAUCUUGCUGACACGAUACAGCAUGGUGCAUAUGGCACAUGCCGAUGGGUACUUAAAUCCUUGAUUGUGAGGUUUAUUAUGCAUCAGUGGGAUAUAUAUAUAUAUAUCAAUUUGACCAGACAAACUAACUCAUACAUUGAACCGUAAUGCAUCAGUGGGAUAUAUAUAUAUAUAUAUAUCAAUUUGACCAGACAAACUAACUCAUAUAUUGAACUGUAACAGAGAGAUAGGAAAAUGAAGUAGGUCAUGGAGAAAUGGGCCCUUCCGCGUAGUAUCAGGUCGGAGGCAUAACAAGCACUGCUCGUAGAAAAAGAUGUGACCAGCAAGAUGUCAGAUCCUUAUGUUCAAUCAAAGAUUUAAGCCACCAAAUCACAAAAUUGCACAUAAUAAAAAUUUUUGAGGGAGGAGAAGUUAGUGACUUGAGACAUCAGCAUUUGUAAAAUAAAUAUUCACAAGAAAAAUGUUCAAAAUAACACAUGGAAAAACUAAGCACCACGGCAGAGGAGAAGUGAAAGAAUUGAAUUUUGUAUCGUAAUAAUUGUUGCUUGUACAAGUUCCAUUUGUUGCUUCCGAAUUCAUAGAUCAUAACUAACAUAAAAAGGUGCCAGUAAGUAAACUUCCCACACAGUUAAUGAAAUGCUGCAGUCCUAACAUAUCUCUCUUGAGUCAUUUUUCAUUAUCCAUCAAAGUGCUCAGAGUUCUAUCCGCUAUUCUGUUUUUUUUUUUUCGAGACAUUUAUAUACGUUAUGCAUGCUUGAUAGAUCAUUUCUCACAGGAACAUGUUUUGCACGAAGUUGAUCGUGAUUACCUAGUUUUGUAUGUUAUAUCUUUCAUAAUUACAAAUGAUAUCUUUGUUGUGUGCCACCAUAUGGUUGUACAAGGGGCAGCAUCAUACCUUCUUUUUUUUUUUCGAUGAAACUAAGAAUGUCUUAGAAAAAUAAGUUAGAUGUGUGGUGAAUCAUUUGUGCAAUUAUAGCAUACUUAAAAUUUUAGCCAUUUAUGUGAAGUAUUUUAGGUAAUCCUGUAGUUUUUCUCAUCCAUCAAAAGCAAGUUAUAUAUUGUGCUUCUUGAGAUUUGUUGUUAGGGAUGUUCAAAAAAUGCAUGUAGAUAGGAGGAGGGAUUGAAUUUUGUAUAAUAGACAAUUUUGGUGUGUUUAUAUACAAUUUUAAGAUGCAUCUGAUCUUAAGAUCAAAAUCCCAUAGUGGAGUGAACCCCAAAUUAACUAAACCAAUUGAAUGAAAAAAGCAUUUGUGUUUUGUCUUUUUCAUCUUCUUAUGUUAGUUCAUUUCUGUUUGGUAUUUUUGAAAAUUACCAAACUGUUCGACAAAAACUUAACAAAAAAUAUCCUGAAAAUUUCAUUUUGAUUUUGGUUCUUCUUUUUCAAAAACCAUCCAAACUGACUGAAUAUGUACCCUAUGUUCUGAUGGUUCUGAUAGGUUGUCCAACUAAGCCCUAUAUAUGCAUCAAUAAGGGGGAAAUAAUUCGUUUCAAUAAACAUUGCGAUAAAACAGGUCCUGAGAAAACUAGGAUAGGAGUAGAUCAGAUGCCCUUUAUGCUAAAACAAAAAGAAAUUCGAGUCCAAAAAUUUUAUGCGAUGAUAUCUGUAAAUCAGCGCGGAAGCUUAGAGGCCAUUAUUGUUGCCUGCCUUUUAAGGAGCCAUUUUUCUAGCUGAUUAAUUUUGAUUAAAUUGCAGUUACUCUUAAGUCGCCUUUACCUAACAACUACCUAUCAUUUAAAUUUUUUUUUCACACCUUCUAUUAGUGCUGAAACAAAAAUGACUGCAUACCAGAUGCUUCCGAAUUUGCCCGAUGAAACAACGCUUUUGCUGCAUGUGUAUAUUCUGAGAUGCAUUAGUACUUUUUUUCUUUUAAUGAAUGCAAACAAAUUGUCCUGCGACACCGAUGUGAUAGCAAUUUACAAUUCAGCCACCAACUUCAAUAAUUUCCAACAUGCAUAGCCAUUAAAUCCAAAUCCUCCCUUGCCUAUAAUUAUGAACUAGGUAGAUUCCUAUUUUCUAAAAUGCAUUGUCCUAGCAUUACCAUGUAUAGUAAGGAAAGGAAUAAUUGUCCUUCAAUUUUUGUCAGAAAAAGGAGACAAGGUAAGUGCAUCAACAAACUCCAUAAUUUACUCACCUAGUACAAUUGUGGUACAUAUGCUAGUUUCUAAUGAUCAGAGUUAAAAAGUGUCUUCCUCUGAUCCCUAUCCAAUUCCUGCUAUUGAUCAAUCAAUGAGACCUGCAUGCUAUCGUAUAAAGUGAUCUGUAGGUUGUGUAGGGGAUCUGAUAUGGUGGUUUAAAUGCAACAUUGAUUCAAGCCCUUCAAUUCUGUGCUCUUUUUCUAUGUUUCAGAACAAUAGACAUUUCAUUUUCUUAAUCCAUGCCCAUAUUUCCGAAACAUAUUAGUCUAAUUAGCGAGCUUGAGACGAGCCCCCGCUCAUGUAUGAUAUAAAUUAUAGUAUUAUAUACUGCAUAUGAUACAUAUCUGUUCGAACUGAUUGUGAUUAGUGUUAUGUUAUGUGCUGAUUUUUAUGACAAAAGAGCUAAUAACCUAAAUUUGCAGUGAAGUUUGUCACAUCCUAUGACGAAGAAGAAAUAGCGGAGAUCGUUACGAGAAUUCUUACGCACGUACUGCAACCUGAAGGGAUCAAGCAGAGGAUUGAUGAACAUUUUUUACCGUGAAGCUUACGACAAAACAGUAAGAACCAAUUAGAUAUGCAGUAAAUGAGUGAAUGCAGGCCAUUAUCUUUGCGACAUUCAUCGGAGUGCGUACUUAGGAAUUGUCAUUGUGGCUCGUAUCAACACAAAUUUCAUUCUUUAGUUUGAUUUGUUUGCUGCGACUAAUCCAAAUUAGUUUGUUCGCACUGUAAAUACAUUCUUGCAAUUUAAUUCAAAAUUUUUGUGACAAGUUGGCUCUUGUUGGUGUUGAUUAUUUGCAUCCUAUUUGUCUUGCAAAAGAAUCUAAUCUAGGAAGAUUAAUGAAGUAAUAAAGGAGUUUAAAAAGGAGCUCGACUUGUUCAUGUUGUUGAACUCAAAAAUAGAUACUCUUGUUGCAUUACAACCUAACUACCAAAUUAGGGCAUCUUUAUCAUGUUUUAUCGCUCUCCCGGAACUCAAAAACAACAUAAAAAAGCGGAAAAUUUCUGAAUAUUUCUCUUUAUUUGGUAGUAUGUCAAUUCUCUCAAAUUUGGUAGGAUUUGAAGGGAAAUGAAAUUACAUAGGUGUAGAAACCUUGGUCAUCCAAAUGAAAGAGCUAAUGAAGGCGACGACUCGACAUUAUCGGUAUUGCGUGAUCGGAAUGUUCUGAGCUCAAAUAUGGAAUAAUAAUUUGUAACAUUUUGAAGAGAUAAUUAUGAUGCUUGACCUACCAAGUGAAAAGGAUAUAUGCUGAGAACUUAGGUGAGGAGUUUUUUUUUUUUCUUUUUCUUUUUUUUUUUCUUUUGGGAAGUUCAUGCAUGAUGAUAAAAGUGAUGCAUGGUGAGAAUUUGCAUUGGUGUAUUUAUCAAACUGUAAUAAACAGAGUAUUUGUUUAAGUUUGUUUUGUGAUAGUUUAAUUUUAUACUAGUGUAGAGGCUUGCGCGAUGCAGCGGGUAGAUACUAGAAGCAAAAUUUAAAAAUUUUAAUAAAAUUUAUAUUUACGGGUUAUUGUCUUAUUGAUAUAUAAAAAGCUGUACCAUGUUAAGUACAGCUAAUUUGCAUGACUAAAUUCAACUGUUAAAAAAAUAAAAUUAUAGUUAGAAUCUACUCAUUGAUAAAAUAUUAAUAUGGUGCAUGUAAUUAAUUGUUGCACCUUACAUGUAAUUAGAGGAGUGGGGAGGUGAAGGGUUGGGCAUUGAGAAGAGAAGAAGGUGGUUUGAUUUAAAAUUGGGCUAUGAGAAUGAAAGGUAACAUAUUACAUGGUAAAAGAAAAUUUUAUGGUGCAUGCAAACGAGUUACAAAAGAGAGGGGGUGGGAGAUUAAUGAAGAAAUGAGUUGAUUAAAGUUAUAAAACUCACUCAUUAAUAAAAUAUUAAUAUGGUGCGUAUAAUUAAAUGUUGCACCUUGCAUGUAAUUAGAGGAGUGGAGAGGUGAAAAAUUGUGUGUUGAGAAAAAAAAAAAGGUGGUUUGAUUUAAAGUUGAGUUAUGAGAAUGAAAGGUAACAUGCCACGUGACAAAAAAUAUUAUGGCUUCAUAUAAGUUUAUAGAUAUAGAGGAAAUUACACUGGUUGUUGGUGUUAGUCUACAUCAAACCAUCAUCUUUUGUUAUAUUCAUUUUCUUUUGCAUCCAUUCUUAUUAAUAGAAUUAAGACACAACUUAAAACCAUAAAAUCGUCGAAUAUAAAGUGUAUAAAACACUAUUCUCCACUAGUUAAAUUUUAGGGUAAACUUCAAAUACCACACUAUGGUUUCGCACUUUCUCACUUUAAUACUAUGUGGUUUAAAGUGUAUCAAUUUAAUACUUUCUGAUUUUAUUUUUCUCUUUUCGUCAGCCUCGAUCUCCGUUAACUUUUUAUUAAAUCAUAUACAAAAAAUUCAGAUACCUCAUCUAUAAUUUAUCGAAUAUUUACUUUAGUACCUUUUAGUUUUAACUUUGUUACUGAUUUAACAAAAAAAAUUAGUCAAAAGGGAUAACAAAAAAAAAAGUUAUAGGAUACGAAAGUGAUACACUUUAAAUCAUUGGGUAUUAAAGAAGGUAUAUACGAAACCACAAGAGUGAUAUUUGAAUUUUUAAAAAAUUUUAUAGAUAAAUUAAAAGGACAUUUUAUGUAGUUUAUAUUAGAAGGGAAGAGACUUUUCGAUAGUAUGUACGAUGUACUAUAAAAUAUUAUUCUCUAUCAGCUGAACAUUUUUUAAGCAAACGUUCAUUUCACGAAAGCCACUUCUCAUAUAUAUCAACUAGAUGAUUCAAUCUGUUCCUCGCCAGUAACUUUAUUUUUCGAAUAUUUGGCAUCACAUAAUAUUAUAAAAUGCAAAUUUUUACCUUUUUUAAGCUUUAGGUAAUUUCCUUACAGCUGUUAUAAGUAUAGUGUAUUGAGCUAUACAAGCUCUCUCUCUCUCAAUCAAGUGACAUGAAUUAAUCAAGCCCCACAAGUAGUUAAGCCAUAAUGGUCAGAGUGUCUAAGUCCCCUUAAUAGACCUACAAACAUGUGUGUGUGUGUGUGAGAGAGAGAGAGAGAGACUUGCAUUGCUCAUUCAAGCGUAUAUUAUUAAUUUGGGUGUGUGUGUUUUUGUGUUUGUUGUGUGCGCGCGCGCGUGUGUGUGAGAGAGAGAGAGAGAGAGAGAGAGAGAGAGAGAGGCUUGUAUAGGCAUUUAACUCAUUCAAGUGUAUAUUAUUUGUGCUUGUGUGUGUUGUGUGUGUGUGUGUGUGUGUGUGUGUGUGUGUGUGUGGUGUGUGUGUGUGGAGAGAGAGAGAGAAGAGAGAGAGAGAGAGAGAGAGAGCUUGUGUUGCUCAUUCAAGUGCACAUUAUUGAGCCUGCGUCCACUUAAUCUCAUUGUUCCAUGAAACAAUAGUGGUUGGAUAAUGUUUGCUAAUAUAAUAUUAUAUAUAUAUAUAUAUAUAUAUAUAUAUAUAUUAGCCCUACUCUAUUAUAUAUAUAUAGAGUAUUCUAGCCCCUACUCUAUAUAUAUAUAUAUAUAUAUAUAUAUAUAUAUAUAUAGAGUAGGGCUAGAAUACUUUACAAGUAUCACCAAGUGAUACUAGUGUGUUUUUAGCCAUCGGAUCUACUUUUUGAUUACUAAAAUCCUUGGAUCAAACACUAUUCCACCUACCACCACCUACCACCACUACCACAUCAUCUCACCUCACAUCUCUCCAUCCAAGGGCUAAAAACACACAAGUACACUUGGGUCAUACUUUUACAAGUAUUCUAGCUCUACUCUUAUAUAUUAUAUAUAUAUAUAGUGUGAGAGUAUCUAUCUGAAGUAUAGAGGAUCUGAUGCUUCCAACUUUUUGACCAUUGGAUCAAAAAUUAUACGUUGAGAUGAUUGCGGUACCCCAUGUGCAGUAAUACCUAGGGUUGAGUGGUCCCACAGGUUAAUAGUAUUAAUCCAUAAGUUAGAAAUGAUUAAAGGGGUUAUCUAAGGGCCAACAAAUCGGACACCAGAUUCUCUAUAUUUCGAUAGCAUAGUAGCUCUACUCUCUCUCUCUCUCUCCUCUCUCUCUUCUCCUCUCUCUCCUCUCUCUAUAUAUAUAUAUAUAUAUAUAAUAUAUAUAUAUAUAUAUAUCUAGGCUGGUAUACUAUCGUAACACGAGGCCUCCGUGCUACCAUUAUUUUCAAAUGAUCGGCUUCCAAAUCGACAAUCGGCUCCGUUAGACUUGAUCUAUACUAUUAAAAAUAUUUGGAAACUAAAUUUAUAAUUUUGCAUCAUUAACUAUCAAACAAAUAAUAUAAAAAAAAACGGUUGAAAAAAAAAUCUCAUAAAAAAUGAUGAUAAAAGACUUGAAUUUAAGAUCAGAGGUACUGAUCUUACUCUAAAUAGUGAAAAGAAUUUUUUUAUAAAAAUUUCAUCAGAUUGGAUUAUUUUACACCUUUAAAUUUACAAACGCAUCACAUCUACUAUUAAAUUGUCAAAUUUGAGACCUUUGAUCACUAGCCAAAUAAUGUCAAAAAAUAUUGAAAUUUAGUUUCAAUACUUUCAAUUGUGUAGAUCAAGUCUAACGGAGCUGAUCGCAUUUGGAAGACCACAUCAUUGAAACAACAUUGGUAGCACGGAGACCUCUAUAUAUAUAUAUUAUAUAUAUUAUAUAUAUAUAUAUAUAUAUAUAGAGUUGAGCUAGAAUACUCUCGAGAGUAAACGAGCCCUGUUUACUCUCGAGUUGUUUUCGAUGAUAGAGCUUCCAAAUUGACGAUCGCUCCGUUGAACAUGAUUUAUACCACUUGAAGUGUUUAGAAAUCAAAUUUCAAAUCUUUUCACAUCAUUUUCCUAUGAUCAAAGGUUUCAAAAUUUGUAAUUUUAAUCGUGGAUAAGAGACUUUUCUCGUUUAACGGUGUAAGAUAUCCAAAUCAAUUGAUUUUUGUUAGAAAAUUUUUUAAACUAUUUAAAACAGAUCUAUACUCUUGAUCUUGAUUACAAGACUCCUAUCAUCAUUUUUUAAAGAAUAUUCAUUUUCAGCCAUUCAUUUUUCUGUUCACUAGAUGGAUAUAAAACAAUAUCGAAA